UUCUUCCAAGUAAAUAGCAAGAAACUGUAACAAGAGAUUUACCUGUGAGACAGGAAAGAGGAUUUCUACUGCAGAUCGGAAUCCAUCGGAGGACAAGAGAUUAUUUGUAGUUAAGAAAGAGACGAAGACAAACAAGUAAGAAAGAACGAGGAGGACAUUUUGGCGCUUCUUUUGAGUCUCAUACCCUUCUAUGUUCUAUUUUAUUACCAUAAAACCACCCAAAAAGGACCGUAACUUCUCGCCAUGUCAUCAAAUAGCAAACUAUCGCGAUAUAUUGUUUCUUCAGCACUAGAAAUUAUUCGGUGCCAAUAAUCUAACGACGAGUUUACCACUUCCCGCGCUUGAAAAACUAUCCGUUUUUCAGAGCCCUUGUUUUCCGGAUUAGAAAAUUUAAUUGCGGAUUGAAAUUGUUUUUUACUGAAAAAAAUUUAUAAUUUGUUUAAAUAAUGAGAGAAAAGGAACUUAUUUGGCUUUAAAUUUAUUUAAAGUAAUUGAUUUUUAUGAUAAAAUAAUUGAUUUAUAAUAUAGCAUCAUAGGAGUGAGAAAAAAACUGAAAAACUAAUUAAAUUGAGAAAAUAAAAAAAAAUAACCGAAAAAACCGAACCAUGAAAAAAAACAGAUUAAACCGAUUAAAAUUUUAAAAAAACCGACCAGUUCGCUUUGGUUUCGGUUUUAUAAGCCUGAAACCAAAAAACUGAAUCCAAACCGAAAAAACUGGAAAAAAACAGAGUCAAAUCGGUUUGAACCGGUUUUUUUCCUAAAAAACCGAACUGAAACCGGUCGGUUUGGUUUCGGUUUUUUUAUAAAAAAAUUCGGUUUGGUUACUUUUUUUUUAUAAAAACCUAACCGAACAAAAAAUAAUCACCCCAAACAUGUAUCAUAAAAAUCAGUGCUAGAAAAUACUUUAAACAAACUUGUAAAAAAGAAGUUAUUAAACCAUACAUCUUUUGUCAAAAACAUUAUAAGAGUAAGAUUUUUUUAGACAUAUGACUUUAUUUAAAUUGUUUAAAAUACUGAGUAGUGGGUACUUAUAAGAUAAUAGAAUAUUCUUGCACAUCAGAAUCCACCAUCCAAUAAAAAGAACAAAAAAUUACAACCAGAGCAGUAAAGGCUCUAACCUCUUCAAAUUGCUGGCUAUGGGGUUCGAACCCAUGCGCACUUAUGUGCAGAAGAUCUUAAGUCUUCCCCCUUAACCUCUCGGGCAAACCAGCUGAUGGUGAUGAGGUGGUUUGUUUAUAGUAUUAAUACUAAAAACAAAACAGCAUAAAGUCUCUCUCUCUCUCUAACUAUUUAACAUGGUAUAAUUAUAUAGAAAAAAGUAUAAGUUACGGUUAUUAUUCAUAAUCUUAAUUAGAGCAAUCUCGCUUAAUUUAAUAAAAUAGUUAUUUAAUCAUUAUCAAUUUAAAUUGAUACUUGCCAUUUAAUUAAAUAUUAUCCACUUGAUGAUAAUGAACAUCCAAUUUUGAUUAAAUAUUUACUUAAAUAUCAUCAUCUUACAAGCUAAUCUUCAAAAAUUGUUUUAAUCUAACCUUAUGAUUAAGUUGGGAAUAUUUUCAAAUAUAUUAAGUCGCUUAACAUGAACGAUUUUAAAAAUACUUAACAUCAUUAAUCGACCCGUCAAUCUUUUCAUAAUAUAUUAAGAUAAAGAUAUAAGAUAUGGUGUGUAUAGAUAGAUAGAAUAUAGAUGGUUUCUAUAAUGCCUUAAGAUCAAUUACUUUUUUGUCAUUAAAAUAAACACGAUGCUUUAUUUCCGAGCCAUUUAAUUAAAGAAGAAAGUAGUAAUUUCCAAUUGAAAUCAGCAAACUUUCCUAUCUUCCUGAGUUUUAAUGAUGAUGGUAAUAGAAUAUACGAGAAAAUAAAUGGAAAGAAUUCAACAGUUGACUGGAUAGGUUAAGAGAAUCAAUGAUUUUGUGUGAUGAAUAGAGAGACCAAUAGAUAUAUAAAGGGGAAAAAUUAUCAAGAGAUUGGUUAAAAGAAAAGAACGAGAAAAAAAAAAACCAACGGGGGCUGACAAAAAUUUUGAGCCUCCCAGCUUUUAAUUUGGGUGUUGUUCAUGAACAAUAUCAACUGAUUCAGGAAAACACAACUACACGCUACAAAUAGCAGUUUGCUUCAAAACUGUGUUACAAGGACUUGCCAAUUACAUGCUUAGGAUCUACUAAUCUGCCAACACAGACAACGCAUUUUGAAAUGAAUGUCUAACGGGUAUAAUUCCUAUCUAAACCCUAGCAUCAAAUAUGCAGCCAAAGUACUUGUUUUUAACAAUGUGCCAAAAGCAUUUUGGAUACAGCUCAAUGUAUGUACAGAAAAGGAAAAAAACAAAAUGGUACAAAACUGAAAGAUCUCACUAGUCCUCAGCACCGGAUGCAAGCUUUUGCCUCUUCCAUUCACGUGCUUUUUCCAAGAUUUUGAGAUUAUGUGCAUGAGCUUCUUCUGGAAAUACGUAAUCUAUGUAUUCCUCGUACCUGCAAGAAAACAUUGUUAGUCAAACUGAUAGGAGGACAGGAGGAGAACGUAGAAAACUGAAUGGCCAAAAUCAGUAGCAUUGAAAUGGUGGAAUAUCAGUUCAUGGACAUGAUAUAAGGGCCAAGCUAAGCGAGCAUGUUAACAAUCAAUCUCAAGUAUAGAUGUAUGUAUGUGACACCCAGUUUAAAAGGAGACUUCUAUCAGUAGUAUUGCUCCCAACAUUUAAGUGACUGCUGGAAAUUUUCAAAAAACCAACUAAAUCCACUUGAAACUCAAUCAACAAAAGCAUUUGGCCAUUGCAGUUGAAGUUACUUUUGCAAUGUGCUUUUUUAGGCCACAGAGCAUCAAAAUAUGGCUUUUGGGGUUUGUUGUUUAAAUUCUUUUGGCAUCAACAAACAAAAACAUCAAAAAGCACCUGAAAAAGAAUCAACAGCCUAAAAACAAUUUUACAAAGACACCUUUAACCACAAUGUAAGGCUCCUAACUUGUAUCUGAACCACCACCUCCAAUACAUUCACAAACCAUACAUAAAUCACGAAUUAAAACACUGCUGCCUUUGGCAUCAUUGUGAUAAUUAAAAAAGAAAGAACAAUGACAGAAGAUAAAAGCACAAGUUGAUUUACAUACCCAGCCAGGCCAUCUUCAGAAGCAAUCUGCUUUCUCUUUUUCAGUUUCUUAGGCAGUUUAGGCUCAACAAGGCUAACAUCACCUAGCUGCCCAAAACUUUUCUCCAUGUCCAACCAUUCAUCUAAGAGCAUAGCUCUUUCUUCUUUCAGUUCAGGGGCGGACAUUCUGAAGUAGUUUAAUGCUUUCUCAAAAACCCCUAAAGAAAAAUACAAAGGGUAAGAACUUAACUAAUUAGAUAUAUAAGACCUGAUUAAAGAGGUCCGGAUGCCUUACUUCUUGCAUUUUGAACACACAGCUUCUGUUCUUCCAUGGCAGAUGCCUCGAAUUUAGCACAGCUGAUCCAAACUUUUAGAUGCUUUGUGCGAUCCAAAAGUCUCUUGUAAAGUUCCCGAGUUCUAUCGUAUUCGCCCUCAGAGAUUUCAAAAUCAAUGUAUGCCUGCAGUCAGAGGAAAAACACAUCAUCAUCAGUACUUAUGAUAUCCUCCAACUCUUUAAUCAAUCAACGAUAAUACUUUCUCUAAACAAGAAAAGUAAUCAAAUCAGACAGCUCAGAGUUCUAGGUUGACAACAACAAUGCUCCUACUUUACAUAGUUUCCAAAAAUAACGUCUUAUAAACAAACUUUCACAUUUCUUCCAUUAAACUAUAUACUUAAAAUAAGAGGAAACCUCACUGGCACACUGUAAUGAGAAAAGAUGGUGAAUAACAGCAUAACAAAGGCGACAAUGGAUUCAAAAGGGAAUCACAUAGAUUGAUUGGUAAAAGGAAUGGCAUUGAACUUGAGAUAAACCAGCCAAAAGCAACUCAAAGCAGUUAAAGCAGUGCUUAAAUGAGGAGACAGAGAAGGAUCAGUGGAGCCAGGAACUGUACCAAGUGUUAAUUCUUAUCAUUGGUAAAGGGUAUAUUGUUUUGCACCUAAGCUAAGUUCCUGGGCUAAUAACAAAACCCCUGCUCUCUACAAACAGCACAGCUUUUUAUGUGGUGAACUAGCAAUGACUUCAAAGAAGUUAAAGCAGUACGUAAAUGUCUGAAAGAGAAAACAAAGCACAGAUAUGAUUGAAAGAAAUUGCUACAGUUAAGUUUAAUGUGUGAGAAAUAAAAGAUGGGGAAAGCAUAUAUCAAGUGUGGGAAGCUUAAGUUGUUUGACAAAAAUGUCUUCAAAACAUACAGAGAGGACUACAUUCAAACAAGCCAUCAAAUAAAUAUUAAAACUUACCAUUACAUGAACAAAGACACCUUAAAAAUACAAAUAUCCAUCUUGUGCUCUUUUUUUCAUCACUAAGCAUUCAUCUAUUGUUUCUAAAUUUUGAACAUGAAGGAUAAGGAAGCAUAACCACUUCUGCACUGUAGAUUUAUGAUUAUUGGCUCUACAAUACACUUUCAGAACACAGGUCUGACAGUCAACACAGGACAUGAAUUACAAAUAUGAACUCCUUAACUAAAAUGGUGACAACAGAUAAAUUACCUUCCACAACAACUCUGGCAUAUCCAAGGCUGGCUGUGCUAUAGCAAGCUCAAAAAUAGAUCGGGCCCGUUCAGUUUCACUCAAGGAUCUCUCCAGCUCAGCAUAUUUGCUCCAAGCAUAGCAAUUCUCGGGCGACCACUCUAAAUAUUUCUCAUAGAGUUUUCGGCAACGAUCGAUAUUUCCAAGCUGCAGCUCAAUCUCAAUAUAUUUCUUAAAUAUCUGUUUGUCAUCAUGUAAAAGUGUCAGAACAUAUCAACAUAGUGCAAUAAAACUCAUCAAGCUCUAUUAUCAGCCUAGGUUUUACCUUAUCCUUAGGAGCUUUUCCAAUGGCGUUACCUAAAACUUGUCGAGCUCCCUUCAGAUUCAAUUGUCGGAUCUCAAAUUGGGCUGCUAAAAGCCAAAUUUUUGCAAAUGAAAAUAUCUCAUGUGGGAUCAGAUUCAAGCAUUCCCUGAAAACAUUUAAAGUGAAUUAGAAAACUCAUCAAAGUCAGUUAGAUGUACGUAACAAUGCACCAAUCCCUUUGUCUUGUAGUUAUGAACUUAUGAUUAUAACUAUUUUUUCUUGUAUCUUUUCAAUUAUUGACAAUACAAUGCAAAUUUUGUAAUCAUAAGACAGAGAAUGAUAAAAAUAAAUAUGCAUGUGGGAAAGUAUGGAGUGACCACUUGUACACAAAAUUAGAGACAAAAAAAUAAUCCGCUUUACUUAUGCUGCCGCAUAUAGUUAGCGUGUGCCAUUAAGACAGUUGAGCAGUGUAAAGGUCUCUUAGAGAGUUAGAAAAUGCAUACAAUAUAUGUUGCCCCCCAAAAAAAAUAAAAAAUUCAAUGAUAUCAUAACGAUCCUAUCAAUAGACAAAGCACUUGAAAACUACAUAGACUCCUAUCAGACCUGUCCUCUGUUAGCAACUCAUUUGACAGAUAAGACAAUAACAUAUCCACCUGUUCCUUGUUUAGUAAAGGGAAAUCAAGAGCAUUGUACCACCACCAUCAACAGAAGGAACAAAAAAAACAGAAACCAAUAUAAUCAGAAUAAUCACAAUAGCAAAGCAAGCAUACCUAUAUACCUCACGUGUUCGUUCUAUAUCUUCAGCAUCGAGCUCUUCAUAAAGGGCAUAAUUUAUCCUAAACCAUGCAAAAUCAAGACAUCAUUAACAAUUAACCAAAUAAACCAGCCAUCAUAAAGAACAAAAUACCACAAUUCAAUAUAAAUUCCAGCUCCAAAACUUACCACAGAUAAAUAUAUCUCUGCCAGUAUCUCUUCUCUUGGGCAGGAGGGACAUUAGCAAUUGCACGUUCAUACACCUCUCUAAUCCUCUCCUUAUUCCCCACACUCUCCUCCAACCUAAUAUAAUCAAACCACGCAUCAUAAUUCAAAGGAUUCUUCCUCACUUCAUCUUCAUACUGAAACCUCCUCUUGCCCACAAUCGCAUCCUCAAUCCCUUCUUUAUCACCAUACUGUUUCUCAAAUGCGACAAACUUCCUAUACAAAUCCUCUGCCCUCCCUUUCGGUAUAUGAUCCAAUGCAAAUUUAUAAAUGCACCUCGCCCUCUCCGUUUCUUUGCACCUCUCUUCAAACUCUGCAAACGCAACAAACAACAUCUCUGCCUCCUCAUCAUCAGCCAACUUCUCAACCGCCCUUUCAUAUACAUUCCUUGCCCUCGCAACCUCCCCAUUCUUCAUCUCAAACUUGGCAUACCUAAUCCACGCACUCACCUUGGGAUGACACUGAACAAACCUCUCAAAAAUCCCCCGUGCACGUUCCACCUCAUUAUACCUCAAUUCAAACUUUAUAUAGGAAAGCCAACCUUGCUGGUCCGGCAUCCACCCCAUCCAUCUCUCGAAAAUCUGCCUCGCUCCAGCAACAUUCCCCAACAUCUCCUCCAUAUGAAUAUACUUAUACCAGAGCUGAUCAAUCCUGGGGAGAAGAGUGACCGCCCGGUCCCACACAUUUCUGGCAUGAUUUAUAAACUUGUUUUUCAUCUCCACCUCCGCGUAUUUUAGCCAUAGAGUAUGAUUCCGGUAAUCCACCUCGAGUGCACGCUCCCAAACUGAACGCGCGCGAUUGAAAUCCUUCUGUGACUCUUCCCACUGCGCGUACUUGAUCCAAACACUGAUGUUCCACCUCACUCGUCUAAUUAAAUCCUCGAACUCUUUCCUCUUGCGGAGACGGUAGUCGGCCAGUUCAGUCGAGUCUGUGAUUUUCUGUUUGGGUGGUCGAAUUUCAGCUUCUUGUCGUUCUCGUGCUUCGCGGAGGAUUUGCUCCGCUGUGAUUUGGAUCGGGGCGGGGGUUUUGUUCUUCACUCGGGUCGGGCGGGGGAGCUUUACCUCAGUGUCUUUUCGGGUUAGGUAGCCGAGAGAAGGAUCUCCGUCCCUAUUGGAAGCCAUGAUUGGAUAAUUAGGGUUUGAAAAGAGAAGAAUUUGGGGGUUAGGGUUAGGGUUUCUCUGUUUUGUGGUGUGUGUGAGCGAGCGACAGAGUGAGGAGGAGGAGGAGAUUUUAAAGACUGAAAACGACGUAGUAACUGCAGUGCAUUUUAUGUGAAAUCGAGAAGUAGAAGUUGGAAAACUUUCGAGUAAAUUAUUCUUUAAUCCCUAGAGUUUUAAUGCUAUGGCAGCUUAGUACAUUUUGCUUAAAAGCUUACAAUUUAGCUCUCGUUUAGGAAUACUGCUCGAAUAGAGGUUUGCUAAAAUUCAGAUUUUUUUAUUAAAAUUAUUUUUUUAUAUUUUAAAAUUAUUUUGAUGUAUUAUAUUAAAAAUAAAUUUUAAAAAAUAAUCUAUAUAUUAUUUUGAUAUAUUUUUAGAUAAAAAAUAUUUUAAAAAACAUUUAUAAUCACACUCUCAAGCACUCUAGACUUUCAAAUCUUUUUAAUUAUUAUCUUAUUGAAACAUUUAUUAAUAUUUGUCCAUGUAACUUAUAUUAGGUUGCUAGUGUGAUUAUAGUGAUUCGGAUAUAAGUGGUUGAUUUUUUUAAUUUUAAAUUUUAAGACAUGGGAGCAUGAUUUUGACAUAUUCAUCAAACACGUAAAUAUAAAUAUUAAUUAAGUCUAAUGGUUAUUUAUUAUUCAUACCUUUUGAAAAGAGCUUGUUUAUUUUUAUAUUUUAAAAAUAUUUUUGAAAAAAAUUGAAUUUUUUUUACUUUUUUUUUUACUUCAAAUUUUAUUUUAUUUUUUUGUGUUUUUAAAUUGUUUUAAUGUACUGAUGUUAAAAAUAACUUUAAAAAAAAACAUUAUUUCAAUGUAUUUUCAAGUGAAAAGCAUUUUGAAAAAUAAUCAAUAUCACAAUAACAAACAGACUUUAAAUAUUAAACUGAAUUCAUCAUACUAAUUACAUUAGUUCACGACCAUUUUGUAUUAUUUGAGCUCAAAUGUCGUAAAAUGUUAUACAAUCGAUUGUCAGUUAGUUAUUAUUAGAGAAAAUUAUCUAAUGAUCAUCUUGCAAUUUAUUCAAUUUUAUAUUUUACCUUUGUUAUUUUAAAAAUCAUAAAGAAUAUUCUUGAUCAACAAAUAUUUUCAAAUGAAUUGAAAUGACCAAAAUGACCCUAUAUUAUAUAUAUAUAUAUAUAAAAAAACAAGUGACAACUUAAACAUUGCUUUCUUUGAUUUAUUAUCUCUAUGUUUUCAUAAUAAAAAAUCUAUCUCUUUACAAUCUAAACUAAACAUAAAUCCAUCAUAAUUUGUUAUUAGUGAGUUUAGUUAUUGUUCAAUAUUGUUAUUUCAUUAGAAAAUAGGUUUUAUGACUCGAUUUAACCAAAACAGUUUGAAUUUGUAAUUGAUGAACCUUAAAGAUCUAGAAGCUUAGAAACCUUAAAAAAUCAAUGUUUUUGGUUCAAACUUCAAUAUUUAGCCUCUAUACCUGGAGACUAUUUCAUGGUAAGAGGUCUGGAGUCUUUGACAACCAAGACUAAAACCCCUUAUGGUGAAUAUCUUUUAAAGCCUCCUAUAUCUUACUGGAUUAAAAGGUCCACUAAGAUUGUAUAGGUUUUGUAGAAUCACAAAAACCAUGUGAGGAAGGUUAUUGAUGAAGAUAUUCUUUAUAGAAGUGAAAUGCAAAAAGUUUAUGUGACAUAUUUUUAAAGGCUCUUAUUUAUUAUAAAAUUUCUUUUAAUAAUUGUUUCGGAGAUUUCAUUCCAUGCUUGUAAUACAUUUGUCAUGUUGCAUAAUUUAUUUUUAUCAAUGAUAUUUUCCUUAUUGGUUCUAGAAUGACUAAGUAGAGAUUGUGCCUUUAUUAGCUUCCAACUCUUUUAUCGUUGUCGGUUGUUGUCUUAUAAGGUGUUUAAGAGUGUAGUAAUAUUUACUUUUUAAGUGCUUUUUUGCCUGGACAUCCAUUAAAAUAAUAUUUUUUUAUUUUAAAAAAAUUAUUUUUGACAUCAACAUAUCAAAAUAAUUAAAAAAAAAAAUCAAUUUUUUAGAAAGGUUGUUUGGAACGCAAUUCCAAAUGGCAUCUUGGUUAGUACCUUAUUGUUUCUUGAAAAGGAAGCGAGAGAGAAAGUUUUCAGUUGACCAUAUUUUGAUCAUAAAAAAAUAUAAUCAAUUUUGGUGUCAUCAUUUUAAAGAAGGAAGUUUGAUAUAUUUUGAGCUUUAACUAUACCAAAGAAAAGUUAAUCGGAACCCGAAAAGUUUUUUUAUUCGAUUUUUUUUUUAUUUUAAAUUGAUUGGAGAAUGUUUUGGGUUGAAAAUAGAAUUAUUGAGGUUUCUAUAAUGUGUUUGUAGGUUAAAACAUAUCAAAAAUUAAAUUUAUUCACCUACCAUUUUUUAUCGUCUUGCUAGUUUUUUUUUUCAAUCAAGCACAAUUAAUAAAGUUACAAGAAAUAGCAUAUGUCAUUAAAAAUAACAAAAUCAGUAAAAAAAAAUAAUAAAUUAAUCUAUUCCUUUGAUAAAGCUCAAAUGGUUAUCUUACUAGGAAUAACCGAUCUUUAAAAUACAAAAUAAAAAUAGAGGAUACUACCAGAAGCAUAGUACUAUACUAGUUAGUACCUUGUGCUAUGUUAUAGAUCAAACUAAUUUUUUUUAAUAAAAAAAAAACUAAAUGACAAAAAAAAUCUAAGAACAUAGAUUUUAAAAAGGAAAUGGACACAGUGACGAAUUGAAUCGUUUUGGGUCAACCCUGAUUAACUUAUUAGACUCAAGACUCGGUUCUUGAGAUAAUUAUAAUUUAAAAUAAAAAAAAAUUGUGAUCUAGAUCAUGUACUCCACUGAGUUCAAUAAUAUUUUUUUAAUUUAGUUUGAUGAUAAAAAAAAAAAAACUUUGAGAACCAAAAUACUUGAAAACAUGCCUCUUGUAUAGUGAAAAAAAAAGAGGUUGAAUUUUUUAUUUCUAUUUAAAAUUUGAUCCUCAAAGUUUUAAUUUUAUAGAUCAAUAAAAUUAAUUUUAUUUUGUUAAAUCGAGCAUCAAUUUAACGUCAAAAAGAUUUUUUGACAUAGAAAAAACCUUAUAUUAACUUAGUUUUAUUUAUAAUUAUAAUUAUAUAUGUAAACCUUUGGACUAAAAUUUUAUGAAUUUGUUGAAAACAUUACAAUGAAUUUAAAUAAGUAUUAAUUGGAAAAAAUGAUUGUAGAGAUUAAAAUAUAUAUGAAAUUUAUCAAAUAGUGGUAAAUCUUGAUAGAAAAAAUAAUAAAAUAAAAUAAAUAUAUAAAAGAUUAGGGGAGAAAUUUUAUUGAAAAAUAAUUGUGGAAUAUAAAUUUUUUUAGUGAAUUUACGGUGUAAUUUGUACCAAUAGCCGGGAAAUUAUUCAAAAUACUCAGGAAAACUUUGUCUAAUGGAAAAACUAUAAAUAAACAUAAAACAUUUCAGCACCCCCUGUAAAUUAAGGUGAAUGGCCAUUGGAGGCCAUUGAAGAAGAAAUUAAGCUCUCGUCCUCUCAUUUUCUUGCAAUUCCACAUAAAUCUUUUCUAAAGUUAGGGUAUUAAGGGUAUUGUAAGGGUGAUAAGUGGGGAAUAAACACCUUAACAUAAUAUUUGAAAAGGUUUAAGAGAGAGAAAAUUAUGCGUUAAUGAGAAAAAUAACAGAAUUUUGGUAAAGGAAGAAAAUCAAAUUAAGAGCUUUGCAAAGGAAGUGACAAAAUUGGUUUCAAAUUUGCUUGGUAAAGUACCUUACACCACUUAAUUCUUGUUGAUUAAGUUUUGGUGUGUGGGGGGAGAGAAGUCCCUAAAUUUAUCACUGUUUAUGAUAAAUGCUAAGAAAAAUAUGUAAUUAGUUGUAAAUUGAUAAAAAUAGGUGUGGAGUAAUUGAUGUCUAGUGUGGCUCUUUAGGGCUAGCCAUAUAGAGAUUUUUGAGAAAUAACAUAAUUGAUUUGAUACUGGCAUGAAUAAUUAUUUUUUAAAAAGAGUUUUGUGAUGACAGACAUGUGUUAUAUAUAUAUAUAUAUGUGGGUAUGGGCUUGGCAAGGAUAUAGAUAUGAAGUUGAAUACUUUGGUGAUGUUAUAUGUAGCUAAAUAAAUUGAAAAGUUCUAAAAUUAAUAGAUUAUGUAAUCUUAUGGUUGAAUACAUAUUGGUAUGAUGCAAUAUAUAUUGGAAGGGGUAUGUGUGAAUGUUAGGGAAUUAGAUAUGGGUAUAUAUUGUUAUUUUGUUAUGAUAUCAUGUUUAAGUAUGUAUUAAAAAAACUGGAAAUUUUUUAGUAUUGUUUCAUAUUUAUCGAAUAGUUUUAAUGAAAUUUGAAAAUGAAUCAAAAUGCUGGUUGAUUUAAAUGGUUUAAAUAUUUUAUAUGAAAAUAAAAUUUGGUAAAUGGAAUACAACUUAAACUUGAAAAUAAUAGGAAAUUGCGUAUACAAAUUGGAAAGAUAUUGACUUAAAUAGUUGAAUUAGUUGUUAUGACCAAACUAUAAAUCAUUAAGGGUUUAAGUGAGAUUAUAUAAAUUAUAUGAUCUGUUAUGGUAUCAUUUAAUUAAAAUUCUGGUGAUUCUUUAUUAGUAUGGAAAAAACUUGGGAAUCCAAACAGUGAAAAGGAAUUAUAUGAAUAUAAAUGCACAUAUAACAUAACGGGGGAAUAAGGGAAUUAAAAAUAAAAUAUAAUAGUGUGAAAUAAAUAGUUAAACGACAAUUGUUGAGAUUUUAAUAUGUUAAAGUUAAGGAUGAUAAUUAUAAUGAUGUAAUAGCAAGGAUGAAAUUGUGAUAGCAUGAAUUUUAAUUUACGUGAUGGAAAUUAAUGAUGUACUAAUAUUGAUUUUAGUAUAUCAUUAAUUAAUAUUUUUAUGUUGCUGUAUUAUGUUGAUAAAUAUGGUUGGAAUGAGAAUAAUGAAGUUACAUAUAUGUGAAAUGUAAAGAUGUACGGUUGAAAUGGAAAUAUAUGGAAUUAAAUUUUGAAAGAGUUAUAUGAAUUAAAAAAAAAAAAAAUAUGCAUAUAGACUUAGUUAGCCGGAGAUGACAACUAAGAGAUUGUUGAUUACAUAAUCGGUCAUAAUGUUUAGAGUUUACACGGUUACGACUGCGUUUUAAAUAAAACACAGUAAACAUAUGUUCGGUUACAGAGAAAAACGCCAUCUACUGUUCAUGGGUCCUAUCUUUUACUACGUUCCAAACUCAGUAAUCGCGAAGCAGUGGAAAACUGCUUUUGUUUCAACAGUAAACAAUGGCCAACACAUAUUUACGCACUGUUCAUGCUAAUAAUUAGCAUGAACAGUGUGACAUGCAUACAUUGUUCACGUGAACAGUGUAUGCAUGUUACACUGUUGACUGUAGCCGACUAUACUGUUCCAGUCGGACUGGUUCCGGUUCAAAGCAUUGAACCAGGUCCAGCCCGGUAAAAUAAUUUUUUUUAAUUUUUUUAUUUGAAAAACUAGUGUUUAACAUUAUUCAAUGACACUACAUAAAUUAGACGGAGAUCGCUAGAUGAUGUAGCAUUUGCAGAAUUUGAUCGCAAUCCCAAUUUUGUUAUUGAUUAUAUUUUACCUGAUGUUAUUGCGUGCUUAAAAAACCACAAAAAUUGUAGUCCUUAUCGGAUGUAUUUCAUACGUGAUGGAAUUGUAGAUAUUUUAAUGGAACAAUAAAAAAUAUUUUAUAUAAAGUAUUAUUUAUUUCAUGAUGUAAUAAUAAUAGUUAAAUCUAUAUAUAUAUUUUAAAAUUAUCUUAUAACCUCAAUUUCAAAAGCAUUCUUAACCAAACACAUUAAACUACUUUUUUUUCAAUCUCAAUUUCAACCACAGUUUUAACCAAAUAUCUAUUUUUUCAAACUAACCUCAAUUAAAAAUAUUUUUUAUAAAAUAAUUUUUUUUCAGACCAUAACAACAACAGCUAUCACAAUACCAAACACAUUUUUAGUUAGCCAAUGAUGGCACUUAAGGGAUUGUUGAUUACAUAGUCAACUCUUGUGAUGAAAACGAUGAACUUAGUUAGUCAAGGAUAACAACUAAAGGAUUGUUGACUAUAUAUUCAGCCCUUGUGAUAAAAUUAUUGAUUAUAUAGUCGACUUUUGUGUGUCGGGACUAUGGACUUAGUUGGUUGGGAGUAGUAAUUAAAGAAUUAUUGAUUUCUUAGUAUUAUAAUCGUUCAUUUAGUUGAGGAGUAAUGUAAAUACUUUAUAAAAUAAUUUCAACAUCAAUACCAAACAUCUCCUUGUUGCACGCCUGUGCAUCACGUUGGAGCUACGUGGUUUUGGUUUAUUCCCGCUUUAAGAAUUCACAGUCAUUGCCUAAUUUGCCGAUGCCACAUGCAGUGCCUUCAUGUUCAUUGAUUGAUGAGCUCAGCAGUUAAUCUGUCACCGUUAUACGACAUUUGCAAUGCAUUUUUUUAUAUAUAUAUAUAACUCAACUGUCAUGGUUAUCUAGUUUAUAUAUAAAAAUAAGUUUUUUUUUUAAUUUCAAAAAACUCUAAAAAUAUAUAUUUUACAUCGUAUUUUAAAAUUUGAAUUUUAAAAAUCAAAGAUGGAAAGAUAUAUCAUUUGUUUUAUGUUUCAAAUGAAAUAGCUGAAAAUUUUAAUGAUAUGGUACGUCAAUAUCUUGUUUUGAAGUCGACAGAGUAUUAAUGACUUGACAACAGGAUUUGACCCAAGCUAGAUGUAACUAUGAAUGAUUAUAUCUCUUGUUUUUGUGUUUUAAAAAUUGUAAUUUUUUUAUUUUAAAUUAAUAUUUUAAAAAAAAAUAUUUUAAUAUAUUUUUAAAUAAAAAUAUUUUAAAAAAUAAUUAUAACCCCUCACCGUGAAGAAAAAGCUCAUCAAUUUAAUGUUGAUGUUGAUGUUGCUGCUGUAGGGAGUGGGGACCUUACCAGCAUUGUAGACCACGUCCUCACACUCGCUCUACUCCCCUCGUUGCAACCAUUGAGGUGUUUAGUGAAUGAGUUUGCUUCUUCAAGUUCAAGUCCGAUAGCAAGUUGCCUCAAAGAAAAAUCUCACUAGUGUUACGAGAAUACGAAUUGGAUUAAUUUUUUUUAAAUAUAAAAAAGAUAUUUAAAUUAUAGAAUUUUUUUUGAUAAUUUUAUUAAAUUCAACCUAUUAUAUUAACUUUGAAAUUUUCUCACCCGAUAUUUUAAUAACUUGAAUUUUAAAUUAAAUAGUACGAGAAUUAUCUCAACAAGAUUCGAAUACCUAAACAUGUCAAAAAACAAUCGGCACCAGCAAGUAAAUAAUAUGAUUUAACUUAAAAAAUCAAGAUAAUAUCUUUUUUUAAAAAAUAUUGAGACAACAACAUAUUAGAUCGACUUGAGUUUUAUGGCUUAACCUGCUUUACCCGAGUCGUGGGUCUGCAAUCUUGUUAUAGACUCUAUUGAGUUCAAUAAAUUUUUAAAGUAUUUUUUAUUUAAUCAUACGAUAACAGAAAUAAACAUUCAUAAAAUUAAAUACCGGUUCAAUAUCGGAAUAUUUUUUUCAGAUCACGAUAAUCCCAUAGAAAACAACAUGAAACAAAUAUUGAAUUAUAACUCUCAAUCAACUCAAGUUAACCCACCAAACUUGAGACAUCUGUCAUGAACUCUUAAUAAAAAUUAAAUCAAAAUAAAUAAUAAAAUUUAAUUCUUAAUCAAAUCAAGUUAACUUGUCAAACUUUUUAUCCAGGUAAUAAGCUUAAUAACCUUAUAUUUUCAGAAUUUUUUUUUUAACUAAAUAAAAAAACAAAUGUGUAUAAAAUAAAAUAUUAAUUAAAUACUAAAUGUUUUUUUUAGAUAAGUUUUAAAAAUAGCAAUGAUUUGAAUCCUGAACCAUCAACACUCUAUGGGCUAGACAGUGAUCAAAAGCAAAAAGCUAGCCAAGGUCCAUGAAUGGCGUCCUAGUAAAAAUACAACAAUGUAUGAUGCUAAUUUCAAAGAGCUAGAAUUAUUAAUUAAAUAAUUCCCUGAAGAAAAAUAACUGGCCACCCUUUCUCCAGACCAUUUGAACCUUCCUUUCAUAGAUCUACAUGCAGAAAAAAUAAAAUAAAUAAAAACAUACUUAAAACAUAAUUAUUAAAUUAACAUCUAAUAAAACACAUCCAAUAAAAUAUCUUAAAAAAAUAAUAAAAAAAUAUAUCGUCUUAAUUUUUAUAAACUGGUACAAUAUAUCCAAAAUUUGAAGCUGCAAAAUUAGAGGCAGAGAGAGAUAUCCCAUCUCCAUUACAGGCAAAGCAAGAGUCUCUUCUAUUACUCCUAUCACUAAUUACGUCCUUCUAGGGUUUUUUUCAAGGUCUAAAAAUUUCCAGGUUUGCCCUUUAAGUUCAUUACCUGAAAGAAUGUUAGUGCCCUAUUUCAAUAAGUUUUUUUUUUUUAAUGCAUUUGGUUAUCCUUUUCAUUUUAGUAUCUGCUUGGUUGCUAAGAAAAUCAAGAGAUAUCAAAGAUAACAUUUUGUUGUGGGUUUUUUUUGUGUUGUGGAGAAGCAGUUAUUUGGUUAAAUUUGUUCGUUUAUUGCUUUCUCUGAUUCUUAGUUUCCGAACAAGUUUUUCUUGGAUUUUCAUUUUGUUGAAGUGGAGAACUUUUAACAUUUUGUUGUGGGUUUUUUUUUGUGUUGUGGAGAAGCAGUUAUUGGUUAAAUUUGUUCGUUUGUUGCUUUCUCUGAUUAUUAGUUUCCAAGCAAGUUUUGCUAGGAUUUUCAUUUUGUUAAAGUGGAGAACUUUAAGGAUUCUGGGUUGUGUUAGAAUUUGUAAAUUUUGAUUAUUUGAAAAAAGUUUUUUGAUUUUUCAGUUUUGGUGAGGAAGUGAAGUUUAUAGCUAAGUUUUGUGGAGAAGGGAUUGUUUGGUUAAGUUUGUCCCAUUUCUUGCAUUUACGGAUUCUUAGCUUUGAAAUAGAGAUUUGCUAGGCUUUCAUUUGUUUAACUUGCGAACUUUUUGGAUUCUGGGUUGGUGUUAGAAUUUGGUAAUUAUUUUAGAAAUUUGUUUCAGUUCUGGCAUUUAGAAUUUCAGCUUCCAGAUAGAGAGCUUUGCUAGGCUUUCAUUUUGUUGAAGUCUUCAACUUUUUGAAUUAUGGGUUGGUGUUGAUUCUUUUAUGGAAGCAUUUCUUGAUUUUUUAUUUUAGUGAGGAAGUGAAGAUUAUAGCUGAAGUUUUUGUGGGUUUGAAAUUAUUUAGUGAUUUAUGCUCAAAGCUGUGAAAUUAAGUGUAGUAAAUGAAUGCCAUUGCUUUUUAUCUUGUUUUUAGCUUAAGUAAGAUCGAUGAUAGGCAUGUGGUUACUGAAUGUUUGACUGAAAACAAGUCCUGUUUACAUUGCUAGAUGGAUGCAUGAUAGACUAGUCUGUUUUUGGAUGAUAUGGACGAAGGAUUAGGUGAUGAAGUGGCUUCAAUGGACGUGGUGGAGCAGGCCCACCUCCGAGGUAAAGAGAGCGAGCAUUCCGUGAAACCACCUGAAAGCUCCAACUUGUUGGAAUCUCGUGAAAUGGAUAUAGCUGGUGUGGAUGAUUAUCGUGAGAGCUCCUUUCAUGUACUUGCUGAUAUGUUGGAGGGUAAGAAUGAAAAUAGGAGUGCAAGCCCUAUGGAUGCAUCUGAGCAGCCAUGCUCUAGCCCUCGCUCUAUAGAUGAUGCUGGGAACAUGAAUGAAGAAUUAAUGGUGAGAAAUUUUAAUGGUUCAAAUUUAGCCAUUGUUGGUACAGCGAAUAAUAGGGAAAGGAUGCAAACUAGGCAGAAUCAGUGGCCGCAUCUUUAUCAAAUUGGAGGGGGAUCCAUGACUGGGAUUUCUCGUAGUAAUAUCUUGUAUAAGGACAGUGGUCAAGCAAUGCUAGAUGUGCGGCGCUCAUCUUCAUCUGACAUUUUGGCUCAAAAAACCUCGAGCAAUGAAAGAAAUGAAGUCUCAGAACAAUUGACACAUCCUGACUUUAAUGGGUUGUCAGGCAAUAUGAGCUCGCAUGCUAAUAUCCGGACAAAGAUUCUAUCGAAAUCAGGAUUCUCAGAAUUUUUUGUCAAAAACACCUUGAAAGGUAAGGGGAUUGUUUAUAGAGGGCCUCCACAUGAUAGCUUCAAACUUCAACCAAGAUACCAGAACAAUGAAAGGGCUGUUGGUGGACCUUUGGCAGCUUCUGAUACCCCUUUGAACUUGAGUGCUAAAACUGUAAUGAUGCCCUCUUCACAUGGGAUUGCUGGGCCGAGGCCUGCUGGUUCUGAUCAUGAUGGAGUGAGUUUGAGGGAAUGGCUGAAUGCUGGACGGCACAAAGUGAAUAAAGUUGAGAGCUUGCAUGUAUUUAGACGGAUUGUUGAUCUAGUGGAUUAUUCUCAUUCGCAAGGAGUUGCAUUGCCUGACUUGCGGCCAUCUAGCUUUAAGUUGUUGCAAUCUAAUCAGGUUAAAUACCUUGGUUCAGCUGCUCAGAGAGAUUUGGUUGAAAGUGUCAAGGGUCGAAAUGCACCCUACUCCGACAAUCAUGUGGUCAGGAGAAGGCUGCUGGAACAAGGAAUGUUUUCUUCUGUUGCUGCAUCUGUGAAGAAGCAGAAGUUCAGUGAGAGCAUGAACUAUACCAGUCGCUGGCCUCAGUUCUCUGCAAAAUAUGGCUUGAAACUUGAAUCUACAUGUGAUGGGGACAUCGAUGCUACUGUUUCACAAAAUUCUCUAAAUGAAGCUACUGAACAUAACUGUAAUGCAGAAUAUGGAAUUCAGGCCAAGUCCAUCAGCCAUCAGCCAUCUAAAUUAGGUCAACGCCAGUUGACAUCUAUUAGUGACCAGUUGGAAGAGAAAUGGUAUACAAGUCCCGAGGAGCUCAGUGAGGGGAUCUGCAGGACUGCAUCAAAUAUUUAUGGUCUUGGUAUUCUUCUAUUUGAGGUGCGAAGAUGUUAUUUCUCAUCUUGUUUAUUGAGCACUCUCGCUGUGCAUCUAUGAAAUUGUUUGUGCUUAAUUAUUUGAUAAAUGCUAUUAAUGAAACAUCUUUUUCAUUUGUCUGAAGAUUCUGAUUGUUACUUUGGUUUACCAUGGUGCAUAAUUUAUCUCCAUGUAUAAAUGUUUUCAAAAACAGUUUAUUUCUUAUAAAUGCAUGUUUUCAUGAGUCUUGAAAGCUGGCACAUCCUUUUGUGUGAUAAAAAAUUCAUUUGUUUGUUGCUCUAUCCCUUUUCCCAAAUGCUACCUGUCCAUAACAAAUAUAAUUAUUGGGGCUUUUUUAAGCAUUGGUGAUUCACAAUCUGAGAAGAUUUUUCUGCCAUAUGUAGUAGAAAUUACAACCAUGAAAUUGCUGUCAUUAUCCAAGUGUAGUAGCAGUAGUAUUCUUUUGUUGGCUAUAUAAGCUUAUCCUAUGCGUCCUGCUUAUUUUUGUUUGUCAUUCUCUCUAUGUUUGUUUAUUUUGUUUAGAUUUAUGGGUUUGGAUAGAAAUUUUCUUUUUUAUAUGAUUAAUUAGGUUGUUUCUUUCAGUUGCUUGGUCGUUUUGACUCUGACAGAGCACAUGCAACAGCAAUGUCAGACCUUUGUCACAGGAUUCUUCCUCCACAACUUUUAUCAGAAAAUCCAAAGGAAGCUGGAUUCUGCCUUUGGCUACUUCAUCCUGAACCCUCAUCACGCCCAACAGCAAGGUAAUCCUAGCUUGUUAUAAAUUUGUAAAAUCUUGAAUUUUAUUGGAUAUGAAGACCUUAAAAGCUUGACAUUCCAUUAAUCAAUUGUCUUGGCAUUUAAACUAUUAGAGGACUAAAAAUAAAUUGAGUUACAAGAGUUGUUAAUUUGUGGCAAGAUUUAAAUCUGAUUGUGAGACUUUACCUUGAACUCAAUGUGAUCCAAGCACUUUGGAAGUGUCAGUACCAAACUUCCCUUCUGUUUUGUUUCUUUUUCAUCUAACUUUAAUUCGUGUUCAUUUCUUCAUUAAUAAAAUAUUUACAUCCAUGGAAAGCUAGCCUCUUGCCCCUAAAAGAGGCUUUACACCAUGUUUUGUGCUUCUACGAGUGAGCAGAGGACUAGAUCAUCGAAGCUCCUAUCUCACACCCUCUCACCAACAUUAAAUCUCCCUAAGCUUUGUCUGAACUCUCUCUCACUCUCGAUCCAUAUUAUGCAUAUGUAGUCUACCCUUGCAUGUAGUUGGUGGUGUUAAAGCCAUGAAAUUUGAGUUCACAUCUGACGAAUUAAAUGGGUUUUAUGGACCUUAGUUAACUGUGGGGAUUUUUGUUCAACCUGGUGAAUGAGGAAGAAAUGAAAGGAAAGCUGGAUGGUUGUGACUUGUGUCUGUCAUGGUGUUACUAAUGGAAGUAGAUGGAACAGGCACAUUGAACCACUUAUAAUAGGUUGAUAUUAAAAUUGCCCCCUUUUAAAGACUGAGGACCUUAACAAGAUUUUGGACAAAAUAUGGGAUGAAAUUGCACCUGCAUCAGUUUGUGGGAUACGUGGGGACAUAAUGUAAUAGAUUUUUGCAUUGGACUGAUCAUCGAUUUUCUCAUAAGAAAUGAAUUUCAAGUAUUUUAUGCUUCUUCUUUUUCUUUCCCAAACUAGUGCAUUAGUUGAUUGUAAAACAUUCUGGCUUUGUUACCAGGAUGGGUGCCUGCUAACUCAUGCUAUAGUUCUGGUGCAAGUUGUUAAAUUCUAAACUUAUGCCCUCGUGUGAGAUUCUAUUUUGCUUGUAUCUGGCAGGGAAAUCCUGCAAUCUGAAUUGAUUAAUGGAUUGCAAGAGGUGUCAGCAGAAGAAUUGUCAUCCUCUGUUGACCAAGAUGAUGCCGAAUCAGAACUUUUGUUGCAUUUCCUUGUUUCAUUGAAGGAGCAGAAGCAGAAGCACGCCUUUAAGUUAGUGGAAGAUGUUAGAUGCUUGGAUACUGAUAUUGAAGAGGUUGGUAGGAGAAGCUGCUCAAAGAAACACUUGCACCAUUCUUGCUUAGAGAAUGACUUUAUAAAUGAAAGGCAACCUACCUCUGAGCAUAAAGAACCUUCCAGGUUGGAGGCACUUUCUCAAGUAUCUCCUGAUUUUCAGACAAACAAUAUGAGGUUGAUGAGCAAUAUCAGCCAGCUUGAAAGUGCUUAUUUCUCCAUGAGAUCCAAAGUCCAGCUUGCUGAGACUGAUGCUGCCACUCGCCAAGAUAAGGACUUACUGAUAAAUCGUAAGAACUGGGAUUUAGCACAGGAGGAUGAAGAAACACAGAAUACCACUGAUUGCCUUGGAUCCUUUUUUGAUGGUUUGUGCAAGUAUGCUCGUUAUAGUAAGUUUGAAGCACGUGGGCUACUAAGAACCGGGGACUUCAAUAAUUCUGCAAAUGUUAUUUGUUCUUUGAGUUUUGACCGUGAUGCAGACUAUUUUGCUGCUGCUGGAGUAUCAAAGAAAAUAAAGAUAUUUGAGUUUGAUUCACUCUUUAAUGACUCUGUUGAUAUUCAUUAUCCAGUCAUUGAAAUGUCAAAUGAGUCAAAGCUCAGCUGCAUUUGCUGGAACAGCUACAUCAAGAGCUAUCUGGCUUCAACUGGCUAUGAUGGUGUUGUUAAGGUGUGUAUAUCUUGCAUGCUAGAUUCUUUACUGUUGAAAUACCUUUCUGUGAGUAUCAGUGGGUCGACCUGAUGCGGGACAACCUUGUCAUAUCUGUGGCUUGGAUAUGGAGUUUUCUGCAUCAGCUUCUGAAUUUCUUGGGGUUAUAAGGGAUUCCAGUGUCAUAUUCUUUAGUUUUCUUACUGCAGCUUUCAUCUUGUCCCCUGCAAUCAUCUUUGAUCUUUCUUUUAUAAAAAAAAUAAGCCCUAAAUAUCCUCACUUCUGAAAUUUUCAAAUGUCAGCUUAAAAAAGAACAUCAUAUUGUUGCUAAUCUAUAAGUUUACAUUGUAUUUGUUGAGGUUUCUCAACUUCUUGAAUCGCAUUGGUUAUCCUUCUCCUACACACUGUAAUUAUUAUCUUCAUGUGUGCUCAAAUUUGUCUGCUUAUUUUUAUUUUCCACUGUACAUUUUAGAUCUUGUGGUUGUAUUCUUAAAUUCCCCACGUUGCUCUUUACCUGAUUUGCUUUGAUGAAUUCCAGCUAUGGGAUGUGAAUACUGGUCAAGUGGUUUUUCAAUAUAAGGAGCAUGAAAAGAGAGCUUGGUCUGUGGACUUUUCUCAAGUAUAUCCAACAAAAUUAGCCAGUGGAAGUGAUGAUUGUUCUGUGAAGCUGUGGAGCAUUAAUGAGGCAUGUUCUCCCCAUCUCUUUUGUACUUUGUAAUAGUUUGGGAUUCCUAAAACCAGAGUUGGAAGAAUGUUCCACUAUUUAAUGAAGGCCAUUUGAGUUAAAAUGUGAUAGUGCUGCUUGGUGUUUCUUUAACUUUAUAUGUUUAUUCUUCUUUCUUGCAGCUCUAGCUAUUGCUCAAAAAAUUGAAAUUCUUUCUGUAAUUUGCUUAAUAAAAGCUUAUGCAGUUCAAACCUUUUUGCAGAAAAAUAGUACAAGCACAAUCAGGAACAUUGCAAAUGUCUGCUGCGUGCAGUUCUCUUCUCACUCUACUCAUUUGCUGGCCUUUGGGUCUGCAGAUUACAGAACCUAUUGCUAUGAUCUUCGGAAUGUUAGAGCCCCCUGGUGUGUAUUGUCUGGCCAUGACAAAGCUGUGAGCUAUGUUAAAUUCUUGGACUCUGAAACUCUGGUUACUGCAUCAACUGACAAUACGUUAAAGAUUUGGGAUCUCAAUAAAACCAGCUCCAGUGGUUUAUCCCCUAGUGCUUGCAGCUUAACCCUUGGUGGACACACUAACGAGAAGGUCAGUGCUUGUGUUUAAGGAGCUAGCCAGUUUGUUCUUGCGCUGCUUUUAUUUUAUUUUAUUUUAAUCAUUUCCUCUUACGGGUAUCUCUUGCUCCUGCAGAACUUUGUGGGUCUAUCUGUUGCCAAUGGUUACAUAGCAUGUGGAUCAGAAACAAAUGAGGUAUGGCUUCAGUUUUUUUUGGCAGAAUGAUUUGCUUGAUAAUAAGUGAGGAUGAGAAUUCAUCACUGAAAGGGGGUAAAAAAUGAAAGAGAAGAACAAGAGUUCCCAGCUUUCAUACGCGACCUCUACCAUUUUUGCCAAAGUACAUCUACUCUUUAACUUACUGAAGUGAUGUUGUCUCCUUUCAGGUUUAUGCUUACCAUAGAUCUCUACCUAUGCCAAUCACUUCUCACAAGUUUGGUUCAAUUGAUCCUAUUUCUGGUAAGGAAACAGAUUGUGACAAUGGGCAGUUUGUUUCAAGUGUCUGCUGGAGAGGGAAAUCAGACAUGGUUGUUGCUGCUAAUUCGAGUGGGUGUAUAAAAGCAUUGCAAAUGCUAUGAAGCAAAAUAGUCAAUCUGAGAUCAAUUGGAAACCACAUUCGUUUGGCUUCCUUAUUGCAUGGGGACCCGGAGCCUUUUCUUUUUUCCGGACAGCAUGUUCAUAAACUGAAACCGCAAAUUUGCUUGGCAAUAUCUUCGACGAAUGUCAUCUGCUCAGCUUGCUCAGUGAUACAAGGGUUUCAGUUGGCUGAACUACUGACUUCACUUAGGGAAGCAAAUUCCGGUUCCAGAUCUCCAGAUAAGAAAGAUCAGAUACCAGAUCUGAGAUAUUUGCCGGUGAAAGCACCAGAAUAUCAUAUUGUUUAAGAGGGUACACUGCUUGUAAAUAUAAAACAAAAAUGAUUGAGAUCAAUGUGGUGUCAAGAUGUGCUGGAUUGAAAUAAGACUCCGAGGAAGCAUCGGGCAUCGUGAUGCAACAAGUUACGUUGGUCAUAAUAAGGGCUUCUGACCAAUUCCGGCAUUUGUGAAUUGGCAGGCAGCCCUUCAAAGUUUUGGCUAGGACCUGCAUAUAUACACUUGAGUUUUCAAGUUCUAUUUAAUAGUGGGGCCUAUUUGAUGCCAAGUGGACAUCUACACCAAUUCCAUCUAAUUCCUUGUUGAGUUGUAUCUACGGAUUGAAUCUUGCAAAUAUAAAAGCUAGCACAUGUAAAUUUUAUAGAAAAAGGAACGGUGUAUAUGAUAAUAUCGUUUUGAAAAGAUUAUUUUAGUUGCCACAGUCUGCGUUUCUGGCCUUGCUGAUAGCUUGAUGAAGUAGUUCAAUGGCACUGUUGACAAUUUCCAUAAAGUCUUGUAACAAGGAGAUAAGAAAAACAGCAGAUUUUCCCAGCAGGAAACAGGCUGGUGUCAUACUGCUUUUUAGAGUUUGACACGAGACAUAGAAGUAAAUAUGGCUUAAACCUAACAUCUUCUGAAAGUGUCAGCCAGGCUACAAGAUGGUCAAAAUUCAGCUUAUGAGCAGAAAUACAGAGCAGGAUGGCCCAUGAGGCCCGCCCAUUUGAAAAAUAACUGUUAAUACUCUCCCAAACAGCCGCACAAUAGUCGGCCCACUCAAGAUCCUGUGCUAAGAACUACGACUAAAGCUUAGUUUAGAAGUUUCUUUAAUUUGUAGACCGAAUCGAACUUCUUAUCCUGUGAUAUUUAAGGACGUAAUUGUAAUUAUAAGCUAAUUUAAAGACUAAACUCAAAUAAUAUUAUCCAAAAACAAAUACGAGUAGUAUUUGGGAAAGAAGAGAAAGCAAGUGUAGCAGAGUGCGUGGAAAUCGAGGAAGACGAGGAUGCAGUGGUACUUCGUCGCCUUACUUCUCACAUUUCUCACCAGCUCUCAGGUCUCUCUCUCACUUCCAAAUCCCUAUAAUAUCUAGAGAUCGAUCAAAGUUUUCACUUUGCUCUUAAGUUUUGAAUCUAUAGCUUUUGAUUUCAUGAUUAUGAAAAUGUGGAAGUACCAGAAAUGUGUUUGUGUGUGUGUGAGAGAGAUUAAGCAUUUUGGAUUGUGUGAUUCGAGGCGUAAUUAAGAAUUUAUUAUAAGAAAGGCGAGAUAGAUUAGGCGUUUGGGUUUUGAGGCGUGAAUAAAAAGUUCAAGGAAAAUGAGAGUUGAGAUACGAAAAUAAUAGCAAAAUCGGAGGUAUUUAAAAAGCAAUGCAGAAACUUGUGAUCGAUUGAAUAAGAUGCUUUGGGUGAAUUGGUUUCGUAUCCGAGGAAGUUUUGUAGCUUCGAAAUACUGUCAGAUCUCUGUAUUCGAAGAUUUUUUUUUUUUUACGCUGAAACAGAUAAAUUAAAUUAACCUAUCCUCCUCCUUUAUUUACUGGCAGGGCAUUUUGACUACUCUAUCUCAAAGUAAUGGAAAGUAUUUGUACGACUAUGCCACUGUACCCUUUCUUGCUGAAGUUUUCAAGGUAUUCUUAGCUCUUGAGUGGACAGACCAUUUAACAUAGCAAUGACGGUUUUUUCCAUAUGUAAAUUGGCUUUCUUUUUAAUGUUGUGUUUAUUUGAACAACAGCUGGUGCUUUCUAGUUUACUUGUUUGGAGAGAGUGCCAGAUAUCACCAUCUACAAGGAUGACUACAGAAUGGAAGAGUGUGCGCUUAUACGUUGUUCCUUCAAUCAUUUAUCUAAUUCAUAACAAUGUUCAGUUUGCUACUUUGACUUAUGUGGAUGCAUCCACUUACCAGAUAAUGGGUAAUUUGAAGAUUGUUACCACUGGCAUAUUAUUCAGGUGCCUAUUUUAUACUGUUCUUUUUUAUCAUUCGCUUCCUCGGUUGGAUGUCUUUUGGAAUGAAUUUAGCCUUGUUUCAGCUAAUUAAUUGAUGAUUUUCUUUGCCUUCUCUAUGAUUCAUUCUUUAGGCUGUUCCUGAGGAGGAGACUGUCUAAUCUGCAGUGGAUGGCAAUUAUUCUAUUAGCUGUUGGAACAACCACAAGCCAGGUAGGUGGUUAUUUGAAUUGUUAGCAAUUUCUCCUCUUCAUCUUCAUGCUUUGUUUAGUUCUUUGGUUAUUUAACUUAUGCACUGCAAGUUUCUGUUCAGAUUUUUAUUUUACACCAAAAUCGCUGUCUUUGUUAUAUUGCAGUUUUUUCACGAUCCUAAUUAUCAUCAACUUUCCCUUUUAAUUUAUUCGUUAACAUUUUAUCUAUAACCAAAAAAAAUAAAAUAAUAAUGAAUGCUUUUCUUUCAUUUAUUGUAGGUUAAAGGUUGUGGAGAAGCAUCCUGUGAUUCUCUAUUUGCAGCUCCAAUUCAAGGCUAUAUGUUGGGGGCAGUAUCUGCUUGUCUAUCAGCAUUAGCAGGUGUCUACACAGAGUUUCUGAUGAAGAAGAACAACGAUAGCUUGUAUUGGCAAAACGUUCAAUUAUAUACGUAGGUAUCUUUUCUCCAUUCAAUGACUUUUCCCUUUUCAAGAUGCUUUUUUAGUAACGUUGCCUGUAAAUAGUCAUGGUAGCAAACUUGACCUGGAUAUCUUCUUCCAAGGCUCUUAGGCUUAUCUCACACUCCCUUAUAUAUUCCUGACCCUGCUCUAUUUACAUACUUUUUGCGAUAGAGAAUAUGGAGUCAUUGGUUGGCAAAAUACAUUAUUACGUUAAUUAUGUUGAUGAUUUAGGUAUUUCCUUCCACUUCAGAUUUGGCUCAAUAUUCAACUUGGCUCGGCUUGUCCUGGAUGAUUACAGGGGUGGAUAUGAGAACGGAUCCUGGUGGCAACGCCUUUUCAAUGGCUACAGUAUUACAACUUGGAUGGUUGUUUUGAAUCUUGGAUCCACUGGCUUGUUGGUUUCAUGGUUGAUGAAGUAUGCUGACAAUAUCGUGAAGGUAAAUUCUCUUUUUAUGGCUUCCUCGUCAUAUAUCUUUCAGAGGAUGCACACAAUCAUGAAAAUAUCCAUCGAUGCUGUGCGUCUCAUAGAUGCAGAUGAUGAGAAUUCCAUUGACUUAACUAUGAAAAGAUUUAUAGAAACCAGAAUGCUCCCUUGAUUUUUCAUUUUCAUACUUCAGUAUUGUUCUAUAAUAUAUCACCUUCUUUUCAAGCUAGAGAGGGCAAGGGAGGACUCAGACCCAGGAUCUCGAUGGAUCCCGGCAGGGGUGCUUGCCACUAAGCUACCCUUAUGUGUCAUCAUUCUAUAAUACCUAUUUGUUCACGAAUCUGCCUGAAACCAUGAUGGAAAAGGGCUUCAUGAGAACUUUAUUUUUUCAGCUUUACAUGCAACUAAACAAGCCAUUUCCUUGUUAUAUACAGGAUGCUCCAGCUUUAUUCAUUGUAGUUUUCCAUUUACACCUCAAAGUUUGCUAUAGUCAUGCUCAUAAGACUGCUGAUAAAAUACAAGGCUCCAGUUUUCUGACAAAAUGACUUUACAUGCCACCAUAAUUCAUGGGCUAUGGAAUACACAACAGGAGUUUCCUUAUGGGACACACCAAGUGUUAUAGGAUGUAUGGAAGUCUCAAGUGUCCUUUUACUUGUAAUUUCGGUCCUUUAGGCUCAAAUGCCUUUAUUACAAUAUCUUGCUCCAUGCCUCCCUCUCUCAGGUGUAUGCCACAUCAAUGGCAAUGCUGCUAACAAUGGUUUGGUCUGUGUACCUCUUUAGCUUCAAGCCUACUUUGCAGGUAUUCAUGCACUCACUGGUCAUCAAAUAAUAGAAUCCUUUCUGCACAUACGCUGGUUGAUUUUGAUACCAUCAAUAAACUUGUUUCAUUUUCUGUGUCAUGCUGCAGCUUUUCUUGGGUAUUAUCAUCUGUAUGAUGUCACUGCACAUGUAUUUUGCCCCACCAAACAUGCUUUUGGAUUUGCCUACACAAGUCAGAGCCGCUCCCGAGAGCCUGAAAGAAGUAACGGUUGAACGAAGAACAGAUUCCUGAUCUUUCUUGCACAUCUGGAAACGAUUAGUCUCUGCCAAUUGCUUAUUGAAAGUGGCAUUAAAGCAAUGGUUUCUGCACAGCACGCUUGAAGAGGCCUAAUAUCCUUGAAUCAGAACCAAUUCUACAAGCAACUGGGUUCUGCUCCACUAUUAGCAAAUGCUAUAUAAGCCAUCUAUUGAGAUUUUGGCUCUAGUUUCGAAAGAAAACGGUGCACCUGCUUAUCCACACUGUCAAUUUAGUCUAACUAUUGGAGUUAUCAGCUGAAUAUGCACAACGUUCCAAGUAGAAUUAUGAGCCAUCACAGUGAUAAGAUUCUUGUAAUGUAAUUCCUCUCAUGUCCAUUUUUCAACUGAUCGCUAUCAUCUACAAGUUUAAUUGUACUCUCCGAUGCAAUCAAGGAAUGAGAUAUUUGUCGGCUCUUUUGUUCAGAUUUUCCACUUCAAAUUCAUGAAAUUACUUUGGGUUGGAUGAACGUUGAGUCUUCUAGUUUCUGAUCUUGACAGCAAAUAUACGAGAUGCCGAGUCCGAUGACAAGAAUUGAGCAGAAGAAUAAAGAGGGUAGCCUAAAGAGCUUGCAAUCAAUUCCUUCAAUUCAAAGUCAGGCCAGUCUGUUCAAACGAGUACGCCUGGCGAAGAAAGGACGACUCAUCAGCAAGAGAGUCGGAACAAAGACUAGCAUAAGCAAGGCACAAUCGAAUCUGCCCAUCUCGACGUGAAAAUAAGAAUCUUUGUAUUGUACAAGGGAGUCUCGCAUGGAGAAAUAAUUUCGACACUUAACAUGCAGGUGACAAGGUCGAGUUAAGCGGCAUUGGGUUGCAAUCAAUGUUAGGCAUGUUUUGAGAUGGGCUUUUUUUCAAGCCCUUGAGUUAAAGACACUUGAAGUUGACAUGGUUGCUGAAAGACACUUGAAGAGUUGGCAUACAUCAUGGUUCCAGGACUUGGAGAAAAUCGUGAAAUAUUAUAGAAUUUCAAAUAUGAGGAAUCCAAAUAUUCUAAAAGGUAUAAUAAACAUAAAAGCUUGGAUGAUUUGUUGUUCUCUAGGUGAUGUAAAAUAAUGGCCUGCUGAAGUUAUAAAAACUCGAAAGAAGGGUGGAUAUAUAGACACCAAAUGUGAUGUUGAGUUCAUUGGUUGAUGUAAGCAGCAGGGCCAGGUCUCUUGACGUUUUGGUGCAUUUAAUAAUAAUGUUUAUCAAAACCUUUUCACCUGUAGAUUUAAGAAUAUUGCUGACAUAAAAGCAGACCCCAUUGAUUCCUCUAAAUUGUUGAAAAACUGUCAAUCCUACUCCCAUCUCGUCAAAAAGGUAAAAAGAUCAAAUAAAAUGUAUUAGCUGACCAUCAGGGUUCAUGGAGAAUAAAUUAUUUCUUGUGAGGCCAGCUGGAAAAUAAAGAAAAUAUAGGAUUGAAAGGUUCCGAACAAUGACUUGGAGCGGGUAUCUUAUUAUUUCAAACAAAUCUAGGAGUCUGAAUUUUAGGAGUUUCUAUGCAGUCCUGCUGCUCAUCCGAGGAUUACAAUAUUGAAUGCAAAGGCUUGACAGACAAUUCAAGUUCAUAUUCCUUGCCAUACUCAAUCAGAGUUUGGGAGAGAGAGGCGUGAGAAAGAAUGCCAAAUUCUUCUCUUUCUUUAAUUGUAAUGUAUAUUUUAUUUUUUUUGGAUCGUUUUAAUUAUGCUGAUAUUAAAAAUAAUUUUAAAAAAUAAAAAAUAUUAUUAUUUUGAUGUAUUUCUGAACAAAAAACACUUUAAAAAAUAACACUCUCAAACACCCCUUGCAUACUACAUCAACAAUCCAAAAAGAUCCAUUUUGAUAAUUUGAGUAAAUUACUCUACCUUUAGAUUUGAUAAAGUUUACUUUUUAUGGUUUACUAUUUGUCCAUUAAGGUUAUCAUUAACAUUCUUUUAUGCUUUAAAAAUUAAAAAAACAAAAAAAGAUCUCAUUUGGAGUUUUUAUCUAUUAUUUAUUUUAAUUUUUUUCUUAUUAAUAUUCAGUAUCUAGUUUUUUUUUUGCUAAUUGUGAGUUCUUGGUUGUGACAUUUUAUUUGAUUAAUUAUUUAUACUUGAGGAUUUAACAUUGCAUUUAAAGUUUUCUUGGUGUGUUUUGUUCUUGAUUAAUCUCUAUAUUAAAAAAAAAUUUAACUUUAUUUUUGUAUUGUGAUUUCACUUGCAAUAAUUAUAUGUGAUUUCAAUUUCAUUUUAAAGUUAAUGUUGUAUAUAUUAGCAUCAUGAUCAUUUAGUGUCCAACCUUAAAUCUAUAAUUACCAUGUACUUGAUCUUUAAUGAUGCCCCUAGAGCCUUCAAGGGAAAUUGAAUCUUAUGCAAACUUAGACGAUCAAUUUGUCCAAGAGAGAUGAACCUUUAAAGACUUUCCAAAUAAAAAAUCCAAUAAAAAUUAAAUUAACAAUCAUUAUAGGCAAGUUCAUUAAAAACACAACCAAUAUAACAAUUAUUUAGGUUAUUCUAGCCACGAUAACCAUGAUAAAUGAGUCAUGAGAUCAAAUAAUACAAAGGCUUCUAUUUUUGACGAUCGUUAUGAUCUUUAAAUUUUUAAUAGGUGAAUUUGUGAAUUGGAUCAUUUCUUUAAGUUACAUAAUUUAUCUGAUAAUAAAAUAGUUAGAUUAGCUAAAAUAAAGUUGAACCUAAUUUUAUUGGGAAGAUAUUGAGUAAGCUUCUUUUGCUGAUUGUAUUAAAAUAAAACAAAACUACAGCAUAAACACCUACCACAUUCUUACAUAAAUAAACUCCUGGAAUAAUAACAAAACUUAGCUGUGUAUUUAUUUAAAGUCUUGUUAAAUACAAAGAGAAAACAGUGAGUGAAUGAACAAUAAUAAUGAUAAUAAUAAUAAUAUGGUGGUGCUGUUCCAGAUAGACGUCGUUCUAUACGUUGUUCGUGUGCUGGAAAGUAAUAACAAAGGUAGCAAUAUUGGUCUCGCAACCAGCUGUGGAGAAAAACAAUAGUGCCUCGUUAGGUUUGAAGAUUCAAUGGCCUUCAUGGGCAAGGAAGAAGAUAUUCUCAAAACAGGAAGGAAUGUUGGUUGGCAUAGGCUGUCGUGAAUAUUAGGUAUAUAUUAGUGAUUUUUGCACCAAAAUCAGAAUCUUUGCUGCUGGCAUUUGCUGGCUCUCGUAUAAGAUUCUAAGAGCAUAUAUCAGCUUAUAUAUGGUGUUCCAUUAGGAAAGUAGCAGUAUAGGAUUCCCAUCGAAAUUUCAACCGUUUCCACCUUUGCAAUUUGAGCAGAAAUUACCUAAAACCCUCCCUUGAAAACUUUGUUUUUAUGAGAUAAAAUGAAUCAUUGCAGGAUAUUGCACGCCUGCAACAUAAAUUUUAUCCAAAAGCACUUUCUAAAGGGUGUUUUUUUUUUAAUGCAGAGAACAAGAGCAUGGAUAUGAUUGCAGGGUAGGAGCCCGCCACAGUACUCGUAGCUCACCUUGUUAAUCAUUAUUGUUCUUAUUGACAUUAUCCUUUUAACGUUCCCUUGGCCAUACAAGCACUGUUCAGUGUUCACGUCAUUGCAGAGUUUCUUGCAAAAGUUCACUUUGGUCUCUAGAGUUUUUUCCUUGUUAGAAUUUGGCCCUUGGAAAUUUAAAUUUCUAUGAUGUAUCAAUGGUGUUUUCUUGAUAAAAAAAAAUAGUUGGAAAUUAAGCUUUAAGUUUUAAGAAAAUAUUCUUUAUUUUUCAAAAACUAUUGCAUUAGGCAAUGCAUCACUUGUAUUUCUUAAGUGGAUAUUUUUUUGUCUUGAAAAAAAUAAAUUAAUAAGGAAAUGAGAGUUUUGCAUCUAGAAAUAAUUUUUUUUCACUCCUUUAUUUAAAUUAUUGAGAUUCUAGCCAAUAUUUAUUUUAGUUAUCCUGGAUUUUAUUUUAGAAAAAUGAUGUUGUUUAUACAAAAAUAUAUAUUAUUAAUUAAAAUAAAAAAAUACAUAAAUAAUUAAUAAAGACCUCGACUUAAGAAAUACAUUUCCUCUUCCAAAAUUUAAAAUAUUUAUUUUAAUCAGCAUAUAAUUGAAUAAAAACUAGCUUUGAGACUUGCUAUGGACAUCGCACCAACAUAAAAUAUAGUUUUAUACACAAAUAUAUUAACAUAGAUAUAUAGAUGGAUUUGAUAAACUUGUGUUAUUGAAUAUUUAAAAAAGAGAUAUUUUUUUCAUUAUAAAUUUCACUUUUUAUGUUGAUGGGAAAAAAUAAAAAUUCUUCAUCAAGAUUUUCGAACUACAAGGAAAAACUUAUAAAAUCGAAGCAUUAACAAUUUAUUAGCAAACACAGCAUUAAAAUCCAAAAUAUAAAUAAAUUUGAGCAUGUUUGGUAACCAUCAAGGACGUACAUGUAAUAUGGCUAAAGAACAAGGAAAAGGGAAGAUUUUUUUUUAAGAAAAAAAGGGUAUUAAAGUGAAAAUAAAAAAGAAAACGUGGACGAAUCAGAAGUGGAGCAUAUGGCGCCAACUAAUAAGUUGCAGGAACAUAACCUGUCAGCGGCGGGAAUCCAUCGCCAGACGGUCACAUGGCUCUUCUCUCUCCCCCUCACCGAAACAUGCGCCUGGGCCCCACACGACUUUUGCUACCGCCUUACCGGAUUGACUGGUUUUCUUACGAAAUAUAUAAACCUAGGCAAGAUCGAUCCAACAACGGAAACAUCAUCACAUCAUUCAAUCGUAGCAUCCUUGUCCUGAAAAAGGCACAAACUCCUUGUGAUUUUUUUCUUCUCUCUGCGCCGGCUCUUCAUAACAGCAGAGAUUUUUGAGAGGUUGCAGAGAGAGAAAUCAAAAGAAGAAGAAGAAGAAAAAUGGCUGGUGUUUCCAGGAUUGCUGUAGCUGUUGUUGCUCUUGCUCUUGCUUCUGCCUUUGUUCUGCCUGUUGCUCAGGCCCAAGCUCCUGCUCCUGCCCCCACCAGUGAUGGUAAAAAAACAGAACUUUCGUUAUACAUUCUUGUUUAUAUGUGUUUGUAUUUUUAUAUGAAGGUAAAUCUUGGAUCCAUGAGAAACCUGUAUUCUUUCACACAUACAUGGGCAUGUUUGUAGAUCUAAGGGUUUUUUUUUAAAAAAAAAUCUUUGGCUUAAUGUGCUUCAUGCUGCAUUUUAGUUUUUAUGUUGUAUAUUCUCUUGAUAAAAGUUAUGGUGUUACUUUUUCCAGAAGAAAGGAAAAGGAAACUGAUAAACUGUGAUAGAGAUAAAAGGGAGAUUUAGCUUCAGAAUUGUUAACGCAAGAAUUUUGGAGGUUUUGGAAAAUGGGAUUUAUCAAUAAUUUUUGGUAAUACAGGAGUACUAGAGUAUUUUCUUGAAAAUGUGAGCCUGUGGGGAUUUAUUUGCUGGGUGAUUUAGGUAAAGAAAUGGCUCAGGAAGUUAUUGGAAUUAAUUAGGAUUAGUUGUUAGUUGUGAGCAUUUGUGUUUAUUUAGGAAAUGAGUUCGAAUUAUGGUUAAGCAUCCUGGAUUUUCUGUUAUAUAUUUGACCUUUUGCAUUGAAGUUGUUUAGCAACAAUUAUUUAUGGUCAUGAUUGUUAGGAGCUACGGGGAAUUUAACAAUAAAAAUGCCCUUGAAGAAAUUAUAUUCGUUCUUGAACACAACGCACAACAAAAUUAAAAUGCCUGUAUCAAUGGAUGCCUGUAUCAAUGGUGCCAGUGCAAUCGUUCAUGACUCUUGCCUUUAGAGGGAAAAGAUUGUUUGCACAUCCAAAAUGAUCUGUACAUGCUUUGAUGUUUUAACCAUUAUGUUUUUGUCCGAGAAUUAAAGGGAGUAUUUUUUAUUAUUAUUAUUAUUUUUUGAAUCAGGGACAUCAAUUGACCAAGGCAUUGCAUACGUGCUGAUGUUGGUGGCACUAGUGCUCACAUACCUCAUUCACGCAGCAGACUUAUCUCACAGCUUCUGAAAUGGUUAAACUUUGGAUUAGGAGAUAGAGAUAGGGAGGUUUGGGUUAGAUUAUGGGAGUGAUGUGCGUGUAUCCUUUAUUUUCGUCUGUUGAUAUUUGUAUGAAUGGAGUGUUUCUGAGUUGUGACGAAUUUGUUGUUGUUGGGAUCAGUGGUUGUUGCUAAUGCUAUCACUUGUUUGGAGGCAGCCUUGAUCUUCUUCUGCCUUUGCUCCCAUUUACCCCCAAAUAUGGUUCAGCUUCUUGCCCCUUUGCAGCAAUUUCACGUUUGUAAACAUGGCAUGCAGCAUCAGUGUCGCGUCGGAAAAAAUUCAAGCUACUUCAAAAUCACUGCCUGCUUCAUAAACUCACCAUAAUCUUUUCAUAGAAAACAGGUGUUAGGGCAAGGUUGUUAAAAAUGUUUUUUUGACACGACACGAAAUAUACAAUAUAAACUCGGAUAGUAAACUCGAAUCGUAAAAUUAUAAAAUCGUAAGAAAAAUAUUUUAACUAAUUAUAUAUUGACAAUUUCAGUCAAGUAGUAAAUAAUAAUAUAACACAAUUAAAAUAAAAGUGAAAUAAACAAUACAAAUAUCCAAACACCUUAAAAUACAUAAUUCAAAUAAAAAUUCAUACAUGGUUUAAAUAACUUAAAAAUACGAAAAGAAAAAAAUAAAAUUGAACAACUAUGUUUUAUUGAUAGAGUUUCAGAAUAUUUUCUAGAGGACAUGCAGGUCUUGAAACACACUGCAGACAACUAGUGAGAUGAUACAACAUUCUAAGGUAUAUCACCAACUUUUUUUUAAAAAAAUAACAGAGACCAAUACAAUGAACCCGUGACCAUGAGAACAAAAAUGUACAAAAUGACAUCAAUUUAAUCUCAUGCCACCUCACUUUCCACCUUUUUUAUGUUAGUAACAAGUCCUAGAAAUAAUGUUCAAAUAUCCCACCAAGCAAGACAUGUAUUUCAAGUUCUCUCUGAGUCUUUGUCGUCUCUCUUUGUAGUUAACAAAUGGUUAGUCUAAAACACAAUAUUUCUCUCUAUAUAAGUAUUCCUAUAUCUUAUUUUACUCCUUUGAUUCCUCACCAUCUACCUCUGUCUUCCCAUGGUUUCGAUCCUCCGAUCAUGCCUUCCCGGCCUAAAAUACAGUAUAAGGCUUUCUCAUACCCAAGAUACUCUAAUGCUGAUGUUAGUCUGCUAAGAUUGAAAAUUUGAGAUUUGGGUAACGGGGAAAAGAGAGACUAGGGAGCGGGGACUUAUGUGGUGGAGUGUUAGGGGACUCGGACAGGGAGGCAGUAAAGUUUUCAAUUUUUACGGGUUAAAACUCGAAAUCAAUCAAACUCGUAAAAUUGGUCUGAUUUUACCGAUUUUAACCGAGUUUGACCGAUUUCGAGUUUUAACCCGAUUUAACACGUUAUUUACUUGUUGACUCGUAAAAUUAUAAGAUUUUAAAAAUCAACUCGUGAUUUUAACAACCUUGAUUGUGGCUGUGUGGCAGGGCAAUGAUCAUUCGUGCAAAAUAGACGUUGCGUCUUUUGGGGAGACAGUGUUGACUUGUAAAAGUCUGAUAUAAUUUGGUCGAAAAUUGAGGAUAGCCACGGUCAACUAGUGUUGGAUCAAUCCGAUGAAGAAGGGGGGGUUUAGUGCAGCCUUGUGUCAUUUAUUGAUUUUAAGCAAAAUGCAUAACCCUACAGACCUAGAGCUACAGACCUCCAAAUCAACAUCAGUGCAAACAUGCAAAUUUAGAUUAAAAGGUAUACCUGUGAUAUAUGAAAAUGCUUGGACACAAACAUGGCCCUCGUAAUUAGAAGACCAUCGCCAGUCACCAGCCCUGCUGCUAGGACACCCGUUACAGAACAUCUUAAACUGUCGUACUCGGAAUGAAUAAUAGCAACAAAUUUAGAAAAUAGAGUUUGGCAUUAAUCUGUAGCAUUCUUUAAAAUUACAACUCAGCUUUCUAACUUCCAAAUGGAUUCCCAGUCAAAAUCAAGUGAACGUAAUCUUUUCCGACAACUUAAAAUGUUUUGUACGAGUCUAAAACUGAAUGAUAUCCAUUUGGCCUUCACAAUGGAAGGAGAGAAGGAGGUUCACAGCACUUAAUAUCUGAAUAGAUCUCAGACAAAACCCCACCAGCACAGGAUUUUAAUCAAGCUUUCUUGGAAACUGAAUUUGCUUCUCGUUGCUCCUGAUCAGUUAGUGAGAACUUCUUCACUUUCUGUACAGAAAUAUCACCAAAGCAAAAAAACAGUGUAAGAAAACAAGAGUGUUUUUAGCACAUGAAUGUACAACAAAUCCAUAUAAUGCCAUAAACCAUUUGAACAAAUAUAAAAUAAGGUCACUUAGGAAGAGUUGUCCCAAAGACAUGUCAAUGUUUAUCUGUAGAUCGUUUCUUAAAGUCUCAGGUUGAGCACUUAUUUGAAGGUGCUUUUAUUUAAAAAUAAAAAAUUGCAGCCAGCUAGCUCAUAGCUUGAUAUUUCAGAUAGUUCUGAAGACUACAUCAACAUUUGAGCAAGAUAUUUUUUAUGCAAGAAUUAAUGAUCACCGAUUUUUUUUUUCUACACCGUAAUACCCAGUUCCAUUGGUUGACUCUUUGAAUUAACCCUCUAUAAUUUAUUAGCCUUGAAGCUAUAUAGCAUAUUUUCUGCCCUCACCAGAUGCCAGAAUUCGCAUCAUGCUGCCAUUAUUCCCGUGGGAAUUUCAUAGCGAAUUCAAAUUUAACCAUCAAGUGAUAAAUACAACAAGGAAAGCCUUUGAUCAAUGAACAUUUUAUCUUCCCCACCCUUCAAAGGGAGAAGAAUCAUACUCAAAGAAAGGAGAAUGACACAGAUCUUAAUAUUGAACUAGAUUGAUCCAGGAAGUUAAUGUUCUCAAGAACAGUCAGAGACAACAAUGUCACCCUUCUCAAAUCAAUGAGCAAAACAGCAGAGUAAUUCGACAGUUCAAGAAGAAACAAUUUAAAAUCCAUAUUAAAAAAAAAAAUGAAGAAAGAGAUCAGGUAUAAUGCAAGACUAAGUUAGAUGGGAGGUACCAUUAGUAGCAAACUUGACAUAGAAAGAAGUAAUUGCACAACACAAUUGCAUGUACUUUUUGACAUCUAGGAGGCCAAAUUCAAGGCAAAGAAAGUUUCAUAACCCAGUGCUAACCCCCAGUUCCAAAAUAACAUCAGUCCCACAAAUAUAAAGCCCCAAACCACUCUAAAGUUACACCUCUCUGCUUCUUCUUUUUUUCUUUGAAGAAUACAUCUUCAAAGUUACAACCUUUCUAUCAAAAUUUACCUACCAAUUACGAGUCUUUUCCAUAAAAGGAUCAUGAAUUUGACAAUUCUCAACAAACCCAUGUCAACAAGUACACAAAGCACACACUGUCUCAAAACUUGCAAGAGACCGACACAUUUGUCUUGAUCAUAAGGCGAUUGUGCUACACAGUUUAGCAGAUCCAGUGCUUCCUCCAUUCCUUGUUUUCUUUAUCAAAAUCUGAGGUUUCAGGUAAUGGUACGAUAAACGGCUAAACCUGCUGUAUUUGCACCCUGUGUUUUCAUAAAUCCGUCACAUAAGUUUCUGUAUUUUCAAUUCAAAUCAUAUGUAUUCCCAAUUUCAGUUAUUUGAGUAUGAUUUUGCAAAAUUGACAAUUUUUUACAUGUUAGAUCUCGAAUAAAAAUACAAUAUACACGAACACCACUCGCGAGUCCCACUCUAUACGAUUAUAUAUAUAUAAAUGAUCAAUUUUGGAAAAUACACUUGUUUAAUUGAUCGAAAUAAGUAUAUAAGGAUAUAUUUGAUGGAAUUGUGAAAGAAAACACAUGGUGUAAAUAGGUGGAUUUAGCCUAAGAUAAACCCUUGCUAAGGUUUAAACUUUAAACUUGUUGGUCUUCCUUUUUCCUUGUUGUGGACUUGGAACUGUUCGGUUCUAAAGAAAAUUAAAAAGAAAAAAUCGCAUAAACUUUGGGGCUCCCGCCCUCGACUUCCACAGUAACAGCCCGUUGUCUCUCGAAAGUCACAGAAAACAGGUUUAGGUUGCAGAGGCCCAGUCUAGGUUUUCUUUGUUGGCCCAGGAAGGUUUAAGGUUUGAUUCCUAGUAUGAAAAUCAAAUGGUGUUUUAUCAUGGGCUUUAUAUCUUUGAAAUGUUUCUUUCCAACUACACAACAAAUAAAAUCCAACCGGAGGCCAUCACUUGUAUAUAAUAAAUACAUUAAUAAUAAAAAAAAUGCAUUAAUAAUGGGACUCCUAGCUCGAGAAUUGAUUGUGCAUAUACUCAUAAUUUUUUUUUUUUGAUUUACGUGGGGUGUCCGGACCAGCUUACGCGCACCACGAUUAUUCCCCACGGUCCACUGGACAUCCUGCAAGCCCAGAAGCAGGUAAGGCACCGCGGGGGUGACAGGCGUGCACAUAGAGGGUCGAACCCGGGACGGUGGCGGAACAAGUCACACGAUUGACCACAGCAGCUAGACCCUCAAGUGCAUAUAUACUCAUAUUUUAUUAUGAGGUGGGGGUGGUUCGUGAUGAUUAGGCGAUGAUUGAAAUCCCCCCCCCCUCUUCUCUCCUCAAUAAUUGUGAUAAUCUAGCGAAUUUUCUUUUUAUUUUGUUUUUAUUUUAAUUAUAAUCUUUAUUUUUUAUUUUUAUUUUCUUUUAUAUAUAUAUACUAUUUUCUUGAUUUUUUUUUAAUUUCAUCUAUUAUCAUUUUGUUUCAUUUUAUUUUAUAUCAAAUUUAGUCAUUGUGUUUUUUUUUCUUUACUUCCUUUAUUUAAAUUGGUUUUAUUUUUUCAACUUCAUUCUUUGAAAUUGGAUUGGUUGAGAAUUGAGUUUCGUGGUUUUUUUAGUGUAGUGAUCACAAUCUUAUGACCCGAGUUAUAUGUAUGAAAUGCUAACUUAGAUUGAUAUUGGUUUCUUUAUCUCUUUUUACACCGAUUUUUCUUUUCAAUUUCAUCCUCUAGCAUUGGAUUUAUUGAAGAUUAAACUUCUUUGUUGUUUUUUUUGUUUGUUUUCCAUGAGGAUAUCUCAACCUCACGGUUCGAGUUGUGAAUUUGUCAUGCUAAUUCAGAUUGGUUCGAGGCUUUUACAUUAUUUUCUUUAAUCUUGUUUUUAUAUCAACUUUGGUCUUUAUUAUUCUAAUUAAUUUUUUUUUGUUUUGGAUUCUUUUUUUAAAAAAAUAUUUUUUAUUUCACCCUUAAACAUUGAAUUAAUUAAGAAUAAAAUUUCAUAAUUUUUUUAAGUGGUGAUCUCGGUCUUAUAACCUGGGAUACAAUUAUAAAAUGUAAACUUGAAUUGCCAUUAGUCUUUUUUGUAAACUUAUUUUCUACAAUGUAAUCACUAAAAACUAUAUUCUAAUUUAUUUUCCAUGAAAAUCAGAAAUGUAUGCAUAUGGAAACCACCUUCCAUCAAUGGAGCAUGUAACUGGGCACCUCUUUUGCACUGCUUGGGAUACUGUUAUUAGCUGUUGAGACUAAGAGUAAAAGAAGUCAAUCUUAGAAGAAAACGGAGAGCAAAAUACAUGUGUGAGUCCCCAUGGAAAGCUUGUUGGAAACAUUAUAUAUUAUGUCUGAUAGGCGUGGAAUUCAUGGGAGUGGGCACUUGCAAGCGGCACAAGAAGAGCGUGCUGGAGAAGUGAGCUUAAUUAUGCGCAUUGAUUUCACCCAGCAGGCACAAGGCGUCAUGACAUACCAUAAAUUACUAUAUAUAUAUAUAUAUAUGUAUGUAUGUACGUAUGUCCAUACGACACGUACUACUUCCACUUCGAUAUCUAUCUGUCUUUCAUCACCAGAAUCUCUCCAAAAAAAAAACCUGGUCUCCUCACCUAGCUGUCGGUGGGUGAUCGUGGCCCUACCUGCCUUCUUUUCCACCCACAAUACAUGAAUAAUCAUGUAUGUAUGUAUGUAUGUAUGUACGGGGGGUCUUGUAUUUUUCAUUUAACAGUCUUCAUCGCCACGCUUGCAUCCAGCCAGGUCUCUGGACGAAAGGGAACCCUAGAAUUUGUGUUAGAAAAUUACCCCCCAUACAUAAUAAAUAUUUCACGUGACCACCUCACCCUGGGAAUUUUUUUUUAAAAAAAAAACAAAAUGUUUCUAUUAUUCUCCCAUGUACAAUGCAUUGUGAAUGGAAACAGAACAAUGUUUCUACUAUCUUGCCUUUCAAAAAAAAAUAAAAAAUCCUUGCAGGCUAUAUAAUACUUGAGGGUAAACCAUCUGAGCAUUUUAGAAUUGAUAUAUAUAUAUAUAUAUAUAUAUAUAUAUAUAGUAAAAUAACUUCAAUGAUAAGAAUAAAAAACACUUAUUUGAAAAUUUAUUUAUUGAAUGGAAUAUGUUAACAUAAAAAUCAAUUCUUUAAAAAUAUUUUAAAAAUACAAAAACAAAACAAGCUCAGUAAAUAUCUAUUUUCACCACGGAAAAUGUAGAAGGUCUAUUUUAGACCCUGCGAACCACUGAAAAACACCAGAUACCAUGUGGCUGUGAUAAGACAACAAAUAAUUACUGGGCAACGCAAAUAAAGAAGCCCAAAUCCGAUGGGCUAGUAAAUGGGACAGAAGGGUUAUUCUUAUCCAAAACGGAGGGUCCAAAACAGUGGCAGCAGGACCACAAUUCAAAACUGUACCCGUAAAAACAGUGAUGAAUUAGCUGGAUUCAAUAGGGACCCGGGGACCAGGAGAGGGCCUAGUUGAGACAAUUGCACUGAACGAGGUGGUACAAAGAAACAAAACCGUUAACCUGACAUGACGUGUACGUCCAUGAUUGAUUGUAUUCCUGGAGAAUAACAAAGAAGAUCCUCAGAGAUUGUUUUCUUUUUGAAUGAAUCUACAAAUCUUGGACUUAUUUGAUGCCAAAUCUAUGCACCAAUUGGGACUGAAAAACCUUUUUUUAUAUUUUUGUGUGGUUAGUCUGCCGUGACCUCCUACAUAUUCAAAGAGGUAGAGGAAAGUCACCGGUUACGAGCAAAGGUCAUAACAAGGGAUGUGAUUAUUAUUGGAGAAGAAAACGGCAAGAGUGUUGUUAUGUUUCCAACAAAUCUUGACGUGGCCAUGUCUCGUUCUGGAAUGGUAAAUGACUUGGUUUGCAAUGUUCGUGACAUGGAUUUGAUAGGGCAUUGAUAAACGAUCGAUAGUGAUGUUGCAACAACGAACUAAGACAUGAAAAUCAUGGAGUAACCAAUAUUUAUCCUCUAAGCUGUUGAUGAUCUGGGAAAACAGAGACAUGCAUUGCUUCGAUCAUGGUAAAAACGUUCGAUCAAAUCGUCGUCUAAUGUCUGGAUUUAAAUCCUAUUAUGCAGAGAUUGGUGGCAAUCCUUCCUGACAUGCAUUAGGCACUAGUUUAGUUCUGAAAGACGAGUUCCUCUCCUCCAUGUUGAGCUUCUGUUGCUGUAGGUAUCCACAUCAAGGGAUCGAUUGCAAUCUUGGCUGAAAAGCCUGUGGGAGAAAGAAAGGGUGGUUGUUUGGCUCGAAUACAUGAUAAAUAAUCAUGCAAUGCGUUUGAAUCUGGGGGACCCAAGAUUUAAAUUCCGGACCAACAUGAAUCAAAUACUGUCCUCAUGCAUCAACUGGGGAUAAUAAGUCGGGGAAAAAAUCCCAGUUUUAGCUAGCCUAUGCAAGUAGCCAUAUGUUGUCCAGCGUGAAUUGUUCUCAUCAGCCUGCAUUUAUAAAGCCGGAAACAGUGGCACCACAAAUUAAGACAAAAUCUACCAGAAAGUGACAUCUCUAUUCACCCUUCAACACCGUUCCGUUAGGCAUGCUUUAUAUUUAAAUCAAUUGGCAAUAUGGGUAGGACUAGAUUGGUAAGAGAUAUUGUCACAGAUGAAAAGAGACAAAUGUGGCUUCUAAGAGUACAUUUGUCUUGUUGCUGGAGGCAUGGUCACUUGCUCAGGUACGAGACGAGACGCCUUAGUAUGAGGUAUAUCAGCUCAUGUUAUUGUUUGCUUUUGUGUGAGGCCAUAUAUGGGUGUAGAUCAGAGGAGUUUUUCUGUACUGCAGAGGUGUGCGGUCAAAUUGCCAGAGUCUGGUGGCUUUCCCGGCAACUCCAGCUAAUGAGAUGGGACCAUAGGAUAUUAUUGAUCCUAGCCAUUGAAAAGUCGCUACUGUCUUUCAGAGUUCUUUUCUUUUUUGGAUAAAUGUCUUCUGGGAUUCUUGAAAUAGGCCUAUUUAAUCAAAAACCUGAUUGAUUAGACCUAAUUAUCCUGCUUUAUUCCUUCGUGGGUUGGUCCAAUAGGAGUGAUGAUCAGCCCAUAAACUGAAUUACUCGCCAUGGACUAUGGAGUUGGUCUAUUUGUGGUUGAACCCAGAUAAGCAAAGUAUUGCGGACAAGCUGUUUAUAACAUAUAGGUGUUUGAGAUAGUGGAUAUGAAAUGAUGUAAAAAUAUUAAAAAAUAUAAUUUAAAAAGAAAAAAAUUCAAUUUUUUUUAAACCUCCAGUACUUAAAAGAACACCUUAAUUUUGCUUUAAUAAUAUAAGUGAUUCUAGUUUUACAUGUAAGGAAUACUAAACAACAUGGUAGUAUAGAUAGGUAAACGGUUGACUCAUAGCCAGUUUGACUUAAGAAUGAUUCCCUUGAUUUGCUGGAUUUCACUAGAAGACAAACUCAUGAGGAGAAAAGGACCCGAAAUGAGCCUCCCUCUUCACCUGAAAAAAUGACCCAAACCCUUCCUGCACUUAUCGUUGAUUCUACAUGUUCCAUCGGAAAUUGUCGUCUAAGGCACAAUUAUUGCCAUCUUUCUCCACUUUGAAAGCAGAGAAAUGCCAUUUUAACAUAUCCCACUUGAUUCAAUUAUGUUACAUAAAUAUAUAAAAAAGAAAACUUAAAACUGGCUCAUGGUUUGAUUGGAUGCUUUCAAAACUUUAGCACAGGUUACCAUACUUGGGAAAAAAACAAUAAAGCUUUGUUUCCCUGAAUCAAAUCAGACUGGAAAAAUGCCUGAUGCAACCGUUUUGUUACGAUUGGUCUAUCUAGAUUGUCCAUGGAAUUACCCCGGUGAUAAUACAAGGAAAAAAACUGACAUCCUCCCGUUAGGGCCAGUUCAUACGGCAGGGUGGCUGUCUGGGCGCCGUAUUCGAGGCCCCGCGAUGUCUACUUUUUUGCCGGUGGCUAUUUCAUGAUAACCUAACUUUUUUCUCCAAUGAAUGCUAUCCUUUCGUAAUAAUCCCCUGCAAGAUCAGUAUACAUUAUUCAUCAAUAUCAUAGCGCAACAAUCAACAAUUUUUUUCAAAGGUUAUUUGUAAAAAAUAAUAAUUAUUCUUCAUUUUUACUUCAUUCUCUAGCAAUAAGAAGAUAAACAUAUUGCUAUUUUCAGGACUAAUAUUGCAUCAUAAAUGAUUUAAGCAGAGCGGUGGUGAUAGACGCAGCUACCUCCAAGCAUUUUUAUGGCACCAAUUGCCUACCAAAAUAAUUUACAGGCAUGGUUUUCCGAUCUCGGUUUUUCAACGCAAAGAUCCAUCAUCCAACAGAAGGAGUUGUUUUAUUCAUGUUGGGUACGGUAAUGAAACGUGGAGAAAAGGUCUGAUACGGCAGUGGAAAAAACAUAAAAAAACCAUGGAUACCACCACUUGCCUCCCUCUGCAUGACUGUCAGUACUGUUCUAUGAGCUAGCUAGCUGGUAGGCUGUAGCUGCUGGAACGGCAAUAACUGUAUUCCGUGACUUACACCUUCUACUCGCCAUCAAAUUUUGCCAUUCCGAUACAGCAGAUUUGCCUUUCUUUCGAUUCCCCAUAUAUCAAUCUAAACACGCGCUUCUUCGCUCUCCUCUGGUUUUGGCUCUUUUUUUUAAGAAAAAUAAAAUUGAAUGUAUCUAUUCUUCUUAGUUUUUUCUUUCUUUCUUUAAUGGAACAUUGUUGUUAGUUUUCCAUUUUUCAUAUUUCAAAAUUCUCAAUUGACAAGUAAAAAAAAAAUGUAUGAAUAAACUUGCCAAUCACAGUAGUUAUUUUCUCUACCAAGAGAAAUGGAAAACAGAUGGUUCACUGUUCAGCAUCUCGAUUUUUUUCAAGAAAAUUCAAACGUUUUUCCUUUCCCUUUUUUUUUAAGAAAUUCUACGUCCCAAAACUUUCUCUUUCAGUUUAAUUCUUUAAUAUUUUAUUAAUUUUAAAUUAUUUUUUAUAAUUUAUUUCAGUUUUUAUGAUGUUAUCAUAAUUUCAAAAAAACAUCUUGAUAUUUAAUUAGUAUUUAGAUUUUAUAAGCGUCUAUUUUUGAUAUCAUAUCAUUAAAUAAAAAAUAGCUUAAAAUAAAUAAAUUUUUUAAACUCAGUAAAUUCCAUGAUCAAGAUCGCGAGUUAAGUCGCAAAGUCUAGGUUGAUCUAAUAUGUCAUUAUCUUAAUAUUAAAAAAAAAUAAAAAGAUAUUAUCUUGGAAUUUUUUUAGUCCAAACCAAGCUUUUAUUGAUUUUUCGAGUUGUCUUAGGACCCCCCAUGUUAACCGGAUCAUGUUGAGUCAACUCUCAUGCAUGUUAAUUUUAAACCCAAGCUAGACAAGGAGUCAGGUCGAGAGAUAUUAAUGUUGAUCCAUUGGGUCCCCUUUAAUAAGAAUGCCAUAUAGAUUCAUUUUAAAAAAAUCCAUCUUCAUAUUUUUUUUCUUUUGAUUGAAUUAUUUUUACUCUUUUUUUACUUAUUUUAUCAUUUAACAUUUGAUUGAUUUUGAAUUAGUCAUAAUAAUUUGUUUUGAUUUACUUUCUAUGGUUUUACUGUAAUCUCAAACAAAUAUCAUGAAAUUUGGUUUAUACUCAAUUCAGCGAGCAUCCGUUUUUGUUACAUGUCAUUAAGUAAAAACUUGUUUUAAGAAACAAAAUUGUUAAACCUAGUGGAGUCCAUGAUCUGAAUUGCGAUCAAUCUAAUAUGUUGUUGUCUUAAUAUUGAAAAUAAGAUGUUGAAAAAAAAUUUAAAAGUCAAACCACACUUUUAUCGACCAUCGGGUUAUCCUUGGACUAAUCAAAGUUAAUUGAGUUAUAUCAUGGCAAUUCUCAUGAAAUUAAUUUUAAACUAGGACUAGGAAAAAUAUCAUGUUCGAAGAGUUCAAGAUUGAUCCAUUGGAUCAAGUUUAAUAAUAAUUUCAAAUAGUUUCCUAGAGUUUGAAUAUUUUAUUAAGAUUUUAAAAAAAAUUUAUCCAACAUGCAGCAUAAUAUAUGCUAGAAAAUAACUAUAUAAAAAUUUAAGCUUUUAUGUUUUCAUAUUCAUCCUAUGAUUAUAAUCUAGUAACAAAAUUAACAUGCAAAAUUCAAUCAUAUUAAAGUGAAAAAUAACACAAGAAUGAAGCUUCAACAAACUAACUAACUAACUAUCUUCUAUAUAUAUGUGUGUGUGUGUCAAAAUAUAGUUUUAUCAUGGACAAUAACACGAAUGAUCUUGGCAGCGACGAUAUAAUAUUAUUCUUGAUGUUUAUUGAACACUUAAAUGACUAAUAUGCUCCUGAAGGUAAAAACAACAUUCAUUGGUGGGCAAGGUUAUUUUUUAUUUUUAUUUGCAUAGUAAAAUUACAAUAAAGCUCUUUGGUGAGAAUUGUUGUGGCCCAAGGUUUUUUUUUUUUGUUAUUAAAGAGGUUUGCUCAGGGACAUGGACAUUUUAGUAUCUUGCCAUGAAUAAAUAUUAUUGAGUUUGAAAAGGCGGGUUACGCGUGGUAAUCACUCGAACACAUGUCAUUUCACUCUCGGUUUUUGAACGACGCAUGCGACACCGUUCGACGACCAAACUCUAGCUUCUACGAUGACAUUUUAAUCCCCACAGUAUCGCCUCUAUUCAUGGAUGGUGCUUGUGCAAAAACUAUAUUAGGUUCUAUGUUGGUGAUCAUUUUUUUUUCUCUCUGUCUCGAUUUCAGAGCCAACCACUACAGAUUUCCAAAACAACCAUUUAAUUUAUUUUUCUUUUAGAUUUUGUCAUUGUUCUUUUUUACUUGUAUUUGUUUUGUUUUAGACUAUCCAUGCAAUUGGAAUCUUCUUUCAAUAUAAUGCUCAUUUGGUUUUUUCAGCUUUCGGAUUUAGUUCUCAUUCUUUUCAUUUUAUUUUAAAAGAAUUAUUCUCUCAAUUAAAUUAUCUUUUCAAUUGCAUUAUAUCAUUCUCUUAAUUCAAUUAUUUUUUAAGUUGCAUCACUCAAUAUUUUAGUUUAUUUUAUUUUAUGUCAGAUUUGGUCCAAAUUCUUUUGACUGUUAUUCAUUUUGUUUUCAAUCAUUUUUUUCUUGGAUUUUUUUAUUUCCUCUCUCAAUAUUUUAUUGAUCAUGAUUUUGUUAACCUUUCAGGUCAUGAAUUUGAAAUAUUUGACUAUGUUAGCUUACAUCUUUUUUUUUUCAGGUUUUUUUUAUAAUUGAUUUUUGAUAGUAUCAUCUUUCUGCAGGGUUAUCCCGAUCUCGUGUGACUGGUCACGAGUUUUAUAUAUAAACUCAGCUUUGCUCAUGACAAUAUUUUUUUUUUAAUUUAUUUAUUGUUGUUGCCUUAUUUUUUUUUAUCAUGUUAUUAAAUUAAUCAAAAUUCAAUCUAAUUAUCUACAUCAUGGACCACCAAUCUAAUCUUUUACUAAAAGAGAUGGAAAAAAAAAACUUAAAUACAUGUCUAAUAAACUCGAGUUUUUUCACGAGCUAAAUCUAAAACAAGACAGACAACUUCUUUAUUUACAAAGUCUACCUUACAUAUUCUUUUUUUGGUUAAAUUUGUCUUCCAUUAGCUUCAUAGUCAAGCCUGUUUUCUCUUUUCAAAAAUGGUUACGAGUCACGUGCAGUGAACAUGUGCCUUCACAAAGGUAAAAAAUAGAACACCAGAAAAGCACACGUAGCCAAACUCUACCGUCACCGUUACUGUGACGAAGAUUAGUUUUUUUAUAUUACCAAUACUCAUAUUUAACAUGAUUACCUCUUACAUAAAAAAAUAAAAAUAAAAGCGAAUAAAAAAAACACACAAAAUUGGUACUACCAAUCAAGAAAAACACGACCGAUAUUUGCUUCUCGCCGAAACAAAAUUGACAAUGCCAGAAAACAAGCAAUGCCGAUACGAGAACUGUCGUUCAUCAUCAUAUUAUCGUUAUUUAUCUUCAAAAAGCUAUAAGAGAAUCCGACCCGAACAAAUCUCCAAUAUCUUGAAAAUGGUCUUGCACAUUCCAACUUGAUAAACCGAAGCCGAAAUCCAAAUCCAUGUCCCUGAAAUCAUCAUCUUUCAAAAACCCACCAGCAGCAAAACUUGUUUCCUCGAAAAUAUUCCUCAUUGAACUCCGAAGUUCACAAAUGUCGGUUGUGGGAGGAAACAGACUGUCGAUCGAGGAAUUAUACUCCGAAAAAUCGGACAAGUUCUCCGAUACACAGGAGUCCUCUUUUACUUCAGGAACCUCAGUUCCGGUAUCUCGGAUUUCUCUACUUGAGCUGGCACUUUGAGUCUCGGCCUCUUCACUAAACCGGAGCACUGAGAUUGGAGAGCUCACAUUAACAACACCGUCAUUGUUAAUAUUAUAGUUACUAUUUGACUCGUCACCGGAGAUGUACCCGGAGGUGGCUGCCAGCGGUGAGCACCUAGCCGGAGGAGUGACAAAGUUGGUGAGGGCGUCGGGUCCACGCAACUGAAUAGCCGCGUUGUCAUAAACCAUAGCAGCUUCUUCAGCAGUAUCAUAAGUGCCUAACCACAGCCGUACACGUCUCAAGGGAUCUCUAAUCUCAGCCGCCCAUUUCCCCCACGGCCUUUGUCUCACCCCUCUAAAUUUCUUCCCCACCACCACCGUUGCCGUUGCCUUCGACGGAAAACGUCUCGUCCGAGACCCAUUAUCGCCAACCUUCUUCCUAGCACUCCUCGACGGUUUGGUCCCCAAAACCGUGUCGACUGGGACACAGUCAGCACUUCUUGAUGAUGAUGGUGGCUCUAUAGAGAUUUCAUUGACAAACUUUUUGACCCUUGUGACAUGUCGUUUAUGGGAAGAGCCUGCUGCAACCUCGUUUUCUUCGUCACUUGAAGAGUCAGUUGCAUAAGUGUCUGUUACUGAUAUCCGUACAAUUUUUGGAGGUUUAGAGUGUUGGACUGGAUUCGAUAAAAAUGAGGUUGUGAGUUUGGUUUGGUUUCUAUGCUCACUAAACUUGACUGGAUGAUCCAUUUUCUUGAUGGGUUUCUCUUUUUCUCGAGUGGUUACUAUCAGAUUCGCAUUGAAAAUGAAGCGGAGAGUAUAUAGUGAAGAAGGACGGGGGUGUAAAAAUAUUAGAAAGACUUAAAAGAAGAGGGAGAGAUUCUUUUGAGACUGGACACGAGGAGAAUAAAGAGAAAGAGGGGUAGGAGGUGGGAUAAAAAGAGACCCUGUUGUGGUUAUUGAAGGACGGGAAAUUUCAAGGAAAGUUACAAGGAAGAAAAAGGAGGAAGAUGGUCUAAAGACAAGAAACUGGGUUGAUAGGGGGGUAUAUAUGAGUACGGAAGCGUGAAGAUAUGGUCAGUGAGGACUGAGGAGACACCAAGAACUAUGGCAGCAAUAGAAAGAAGCAAAAGUGGUUUUUUUUUUAAAGAAAGUUCAUAGCUUUACCGGAGAGGAAAAAAAAGGGAGGGAAUAAAGGCAUAAAAUGUUUAGAAUCACCACCACCACUACUGCCUUCUUAUGCCACCACCACCGUUGCUUGACAGACACAAACUGCUUUUCCACACACUUACUCCGAUAAAGAAGUGAAGAGAAGCUUUUGGUAAAGAACCAAACGAAUACCAAGUGUUUUUCUUGGUACUAGAAAGGAGAUGAGAGGAUUUAAGAAACAGGGGAGAGAGAGAGAGAUAAAAAGAUACACAGCACACUUGAGCUUGUAGGCGGAUACCAAAACAAGCUAUUUUAUAGAAUCACAAGAAAGCCGCAAUACCCUUCAAACCGGUUCAGUAUCCUCAUCUAAUAUUCUAAUCUCUAAUUUCCGGAGUUUUUGUUUUGUACACGCCUCAUGCUAGUCCUUGCGUCAUAAACUAACUUUCAAUUCAGUCCUUUUAUUUCUGUGAAUAAUUCUUUUAAGGGGCUCCAGUAAUAUAUAAGAUGAUGUUGUUAUUCAUGCAUGAACAAAAGAUUUGGAUAAAAUGCAUUAACAAAUAUAGAUAAAUAAAAUUAAUUGAAACUUCCUUUUCAAACACUCUAAUUAAACAAAAGAUUUGUGGUUUGUUUUAGCUGUGGCUAUGAAUAUAAAAUAAUAUUUGAAAUAUAAUUCAAAAGUCCCUUAACUAGCGUGUGAAUUUAGCUAUUUAGUCAUCUUUCAAAUUUCAAAAAUGAAUUUUUAAAUUAGAAAAAUACCUUUUCUUUUGCGAUUGGAUUGGCACAAAAUCAAGAAUUCCUAGCUUUUUGGAGUGGGGAGGGGAUAAAGGAAUUUGAAAACUUGAUUGGAGAUAUCUUUAAAUUCAGGGAGUAAAUUAAGAUUCGUGUCAUUCGUUUCUACUACCGGAAAGAAGAGGAGAGGAGGGAGGGCGUGUUUAAUGACUGAACGACAGGUCGUAAGCUGAGAAGGCGAGAUAUUUUUAACGAGGCGCCGCAUAGAAGGGCAAGUAAGGUCCGUACACGUGGACAGGUGGACCCGGUAAAAGAGUGCCCAUCUAAUGGGAGGAUGUGCUUUUCCCUGCUGACUCGGCUAAAGAAGGAUUUUUUUUUUCGGAAUUGAAGAUUUUCAGUCACGUGAGACCAGACACUUAGUUCAGUGUUGCCUUUGACUAAGAAUAUUUUUAAAAACCCCUUUUAAUGACCCUUAAUUACUAUACUUAAAAAGUGUUAAACUGCGGUUAUUGAGGCUUAACCUUCAUGGGUUGUUUUUGUCUUUUGAGAUUGGAGGCAUCUAGUUGCCGUUACACUAUGUGUUGGCUCCGUGUAUGCUGAUUUCUUACUUGUUCUUACCCUUCUUUGCAAUUCUACAUUGAAUUUGGGGCCAUUUUAUAACUGAUUUUUUUAUUUUUUUUUAAAUGUUCUUGCUACAUUUUGACCAUGCCAUUCCAGUGCUUUCUUAGCUGGCUUCAAGUCAUGUAUGGAGCUUGAGAGAUGACUUGUUUAUUUGUCCGCUAUAAUUGGUAAAACAGUCGUUUUUUCGCGGUGAAUUCUAAUUUUCAGGUUGAAGGAAUGUUUUUAAAACAAAAAAACAUUUUAAAAAAUAAAAUGGUUUAAACAUUUUUAAUUAGGCGAGAAGGGGGAGAGAGAGAGAGGGAGAGGGAGAGGGAGAGGGGACAAUUUUUAUUUCCUUAAACAUGGUCUUAGUUUGAUGUUUUUGCUAAUUUCGACCAUGGAAAUGCAGUAUUUAAUUUUCUUAGCUGGCUUCAAUUGAUUGAGCCUGAGACAUGUAGGUAUCUUGAUACAUUACAUAGUGAGUGUGGCUGGUAAGAUAUUACUCUUGGCAGUAAAUUUGUAAUAUUUUUUGUUUGUUUGUCUGCCUGUGUGCAGGAUGAUUUUAUUUCCAUGGUUUUAAUGUCCCCUUUCUAUUUACAAUUUCUAAAACAACAUCGUUCUAGGUGGCUUGAUUAUCUAUUGAAACGCCCUUGAAGUUUUCAAUUUCCAUCCUGAUUAUUAAACAAUAUUUUUAUUAUUGUUUAGACGUGUUGAAAAGUAAAAAUAUAUUUUAAAAAGCAUUUUAAAAAACAAUCGUAAAAACUAUCCGAGUAAUUAUGUAAUAAAUAGCAGCAGGAACCCAAAAGAAUUAGCUUCUUUGGUAGUUUUUUCUUCUGCAAAGAUCUUGUGGUUAAAUCAAACAUCUUUUAUAGGUCGAUGAUUUUGAGGUGUUCACAUGCAUGAAUCAACAAUAAGUGUGUUGCCUCUUUCUUUCUUAACACCCAGCAGGCUUCUCCAUUCAUAGCCGUUAGCACUGGACAGUUUGGUGUUUGAUUCUGAAAAGGCUGCCAGGAAAUAAAAAUUGUUGGCUCUUACAAUAAACUCCAACUAAUAUACAUAGCAAGACAACUUUUUAUGAGUUGUUGCCAUAUUAAUCAUAUAUUGUGCGUUUUUUUUAAUUAAAUAAAAAUUAUAAUUCAUUUACUCUUAGAUGUCGGCACAGAUAGCAAGUAAAUAUUUAAUUUGAAUUAACUACCACAUAGGUACAUGAUAUACAUAAUCUUUUCUUACAUUUAUAUACCAUUUUUAUUUUUAUUUUUUUCAAGGCGGUUUUAAAAACACUACUACCUAGCAUAGUUGUAGGGCCUGUUUGUUUCUGCGUUUCAAAAACACUUUUGAUAAAAUUUGAAAGCGGGGGGCAACACGGUAAUUCACUAAAAAAUGGGCCUCGAUUCAUGGGCCAGCCGGAAUUGGUGUGUGUGACUCCUUAACAAUAUUGGCAUAUAUUUUAACAUGAAAAACUAUUUGAAAAGCAACCACAACCACACUGUCAAACAAAUCCGUAUUCUAAAAUGCAGUUGGUUUCAGAUGAUUAUUGGAAGUGUUUUUUUUUUAAUAUUAAAUUAAUAUUUUUUAAAUAAUUUUGAUAUGCCAAUAUUAAUAAUUUAAUAUAUUUUAAAAUGGAAAACUAAUUUAAAAAGCUUUUUAAAUAGAUUGUUUAAUGUUUUAGCAGACAUUUUCUAUGUAGUACAUUAUUUUAAAUGUUAAUUUGAACGGUUUCCCUGCUCUGUCUCUAUUGAGUACAGAUACCCAUGCUGCUUCCGUACAGAAAGUGACACCAAAUUUAGCAGAAUUUUGUGCAACUUGCUUUUCCUUCCUGAAUCCUGAUCAUAUCAUCCUCUACUACUUGACCACACCUUUUUUUAUUCCUUCAAAUUUUUGUUUUCUAUUGCAACGCCGAAGAUAUAAAAAAAUGGGGACUUUUUUAUUUUUAUUUUUUACUGUUUAGAUUGGUUGUGCCAGGCUUUUGUUAUGAGCAAAAGGGUGGUAAUUAUCCUGUAGAUUUUGUUUUUUUUAAUAUUUUUUUAUUUAAAAAUACAUUUUAAAAAAAAUGAUUGGAUGGUCAUACUCCUCACUCCUCAGCAUCACUGCUGGGAUUUUUUUGUCAAGAGAGUGCUUUGAAUAAUAUAGCCCCUAUCUAAGCUGUUGCUCAUAUCUAUCAGGUUAAAAAGCACUUUAAAAUGUAUCACGGGGGUUUCUUCAUGCUGUACAGCUAUGCUUCUUAAGAAUUUUCAGUUUUUUUUGUUUUAAAUUAAGUAUUUCUGUGUUUUGUUAUUGUUAAAUCAAAAAUAAAUUUUAAAAUAUAAAACAAUAUUAUUUUAAUAUUAUUUUCAAUCACAACCAUAAUUUCACAACGUUAAGAUAAAAUAAAAUAGAUUUUCAUGUUAAAAAGAAGAAGCAGUAAACUUUUUAUGUUUUCACAACAUUUUAAUGCGUUUAUAUUAAAAAUAAUUUUAAAAAAUAUACUAUUUUAAUAUAUUUUCAAAUAAUUUUUUAAAAAAAGAAUAACUAUCCUAAAAAUAAAAAUAAAAGGAGGCUGAGAAGGGAAAGAAAAUCAAACAAUUCCUCAAUCAUUUGCCGUUUUGUUUUUUAAUAAAUUUUGGAUCAUGCACCAAAGGCUAGCCUUUUAGAUCGACAUGUAUACAUUCCUGUACUCUCUCCGCAAUUUUGAUGGAUAGUUACGUCUUUGUUGACAUUCAAGGGGACUUGAUUAGCUUGAAUAAGUAGUAGCUAGGGUUCCUAAUUAUCCAUGGGUGGCACGUACUUAUGAAACAGACCAGUCAUGACCAUGACAGCUUGAACAUGGACGUGUUUUCAUGGCACGGAAGCUAGCCAGCGGCAGUACACGUACGACUUGAAUAGAAAAGAUCACAGAAAAACAAUAGAAUUGUCUUACAUAUACCAGAGUAUCAACCCUUUUAGAACAGGCUUUAGCUACGGAAACACAACACUUAAAUCAAUUAAUUAAAUGUUUAGUGGUGAGUGUCUGAGUGGUAUCCCUUUUACCUAGCAUUGCUAAUGUUGUCAAGAAGAGAUUAUCAUGCAUACCCGUUUCGUUUCAUUUGUUAAUUAAUGAUAUCAUGCUUAUAUAAACUAAGUAUGAAAAUACAUAAUAUACAUGAUAAUUAGCAAAAACAAUAUUAUAAAAGCAAUAAUAAUAAAAAUAAUUCUUGAAUACAAAAAUAACACAACAUAAUAAUACUUUUGAGUCUAUCUAUGUCAUCUGCGAUGAUGAGUGGAUGGACGAGCUUCAUCAAUAUCACAACUUCCACCUGUCUUUGUAGUCUCAUCCUCUGAGACAACAUCUAAGCUCAAAUUCUCUCAUAAUAAGUCAAGUGUAGUAUAACAUGUCUCGAACCAAGAAGAUACAUAAUAACGAGCAUAUUCUUCACCAUCGCCGAGAUCAUGAAGAUCAACAACAACAUAUCGACCAUCAUGUAGUAACUGUUCAACCUAAUAUGAAGCAAAUAGAAAUUAUUUAUCCAUAAAUAAAAUACAAUGUUUUUUGUCAAAGCCUAUAAAAAAAUACAAAUAUUUACAACAUUUUGAAUCUGACGUGCAUGUGGCUUAUGCUCCAUCUCCUUGCGUGGAGGAACUUACGCUGAGUAAGGUGUAAUGAUGUGACGUAUUCUACUCAAGUACCAGCUCAUGUAUUCCUUCUCAUAAAUUGUAGGAUGCACUUCUCUAAAAAUAAAAUUUCUCCGUGCAUCCUCUCAUUUUUUUUUUGGCGUGUCUUUUCGUUUAGUAAACCCAUCGGUGAAACUAUUGCCGGCAAAUCACAAAUUACCAACAAUCAUUUUUUAUGGUGAUUUCUCUUAUCAUUUUUUACUGUGAUUAAAUGGUGACUCAAACCAUAUCUUAGAGAUCCUUCCAAGUCAAUGGCGCACCAUCUCCGAGAUGCAAAUUCAAAUGCAAUCUUCGAGCCUCACAAUAGCGAAAAAUUCCAUAUCAUGAGUAUUAAUGUUGGUUGGUGGUUUUGAUUAUUAAGAGCAAGAAAGGACAUCCUAACAAGUUGUUGAACAAGUCAAGGAGCACUGUGACCUAGAUAUGCACUUGUUCCUAUUUCAAACUAUUAUUACAUAAUCAUAAAAGUUUAUGAAACUUGAGAGUUCGAUAGGGAUUGUGUUUCUUCUUUUGUUUUGCCAUCCUGCUUGAUGCAACCUUCUAGAUAAUGCCUUUCAGUUCCAUUGAUUUGUCUUGAAGGACACAAGAUUAUUCUUAAUUCCACCAACAAAUCAGUUUGUCAACGAGGUCCAUUGAUUUCUACAACGAAGCGCAGUAAUUCAUUAGGGCGUGUGUACAACAUUCAAAUUGGCACUCCAUACUAUAGUAUAGUUGUUAGACUCCAUGCGGUUUGGAGUUUAAAUUAAUUAAAUCAUUAGAUUAUAUGUGUUUAUUUGCGUGAUUAAAUAUAGAUUAAGCAUUCAUUAAUUGGAGCAUUAUUGACAGGACCCAUAACCUGCCUUAUGGUCGUAGCAGAGAAAACCACUUGCUCUUGUCUUUCAACGUAUACUAUAUGCUUUCCCUCUGGUCAAAAACUGCUGUUGAAGUGUACUUCGUCCACUCGGUGAGCCUAAAUUGAACUUGAGCCAGCUCCCUGUGGCAGAAGUGUGGUUCCCCGCUGUAUCAUCAUUUUUUUUUUUAAUUUCUUGUUAAAUUAUUUAUUUACACUUGUUAAUCCAUUAUUCUUUUAUUCGUUUUUUUAAGUGCGCUUACCGAAAUAAAAAGAAAAUGGUUUUGGUGGAGAGGCUUGACCACGGGGCGUGGUCCUGUUUCGGAAAUCGAAGACAGCCGAUGACCGUUUGAGACAUGGAAUUAGUGGGCCCAACUAGGAACUCGCCGUUUUCAAACGGCAUCAUACAUGAAUAUCAAGACAAUUUUUUUAUAGAUUUUUUUUUUUAAUUUUUUACUUCAAUAAAUUAAAAUUAUAGAAAAAUAUUUUAUUAAAAUCAAACAGAAUUCUAAAAGCAUCCCCGAACAUACCAUAGUGUUGUAGCGGAUAGGCACUACUAUUAAAGGAAGAAACUUUACAGUUAAAAGCCGUAGCUAUACCAAAAAGAUCUGAAUCUCUCAAUCAAUUCUCAUAUGGAUGUUUAUCUUCCUACUAAUGCAUUAAUGGAAAUUCUCUAUAUAGAGCAACCUUUUUACGAUCUAGAAUUGAAUUGACGGGAAUAGAAGUAAAAUUACUUAAUUGCCACCUAAUUUAAAACUUAAACCCAUAAGGUAAUAUUGAGAUAUUACUAGUGAGUUUAUAGCCCAACCGACACCUGCGUAAUCCUCCUCUUCAAGAGGUCUUAAAUUGGUUCAAAAAUGCCUCAUUUGUAAAUAGAAAAAAAAUGGUGUUAAGUAAAUAUAUUUUAUUUAUAAUAUGCAAACAGAGACGUUGUUGCCCAAGGAUACAAGAUUCAUAGAAGGAAAAGGGGAGGGAAAGGGUGGAGAGACCUUUUGUUCUUAUAUACAUAGACUUGCUAAAGCGGUGGUUGUUGCAAGCUAAAUGUUGGAUUAAUGUAGUUGAAAGAGGGUGCCAAGCCCUCAGAUUUAGGGUUUAGGUAGCCAUCAAAAACAAGAGGGGCAAAUAAACUAAUAAAGGAAGUUCUAGUUCAUCACAAUUGUGACGGGGUUAGGUGUAAGUUUUGAAUGCCCACUACCAUUAUUAUUAUUAUUAUUAUUAUUAUUAUUAAUAAUAGAGAGUACCUUUUUUGGAUGCCCCCUAAUCAAUGCAUCAUUAUUUCUGUGUUCUUCGAUUUGUUUGUUUUUAGUUUUAAAAAAAAAAUUAAAAAUUUUUUUUAUUUAAAAUUAAUUUUUUUAUUUGUAUUUUAAGAUCGCUUUGAUGUGCUGAUAUCAAAAAUAACUUUUUAAAAAUAAAAAAUAUUAUUUUGAUGCAUUUCCGAACAAAAAAUACUUUGAAAAACAAGCGCUACUACACUCUCAAGCACCACAAUUAAUUCUCCUUACUUGUUAGGCACAGUUUUCUUCUCGCUAUGAAUACUAGUUAAGCAUCAAUGGUGGUGCAAGAUCAAUGCAACUUGAGAGUCUAAGUUGCUCUCAAAGGUACGUAUGUGUGGCAGCGGUGGAAUUGGGGACGUCUUAAUUAACUCUUCGUUACAAAAUGUUGGCUACAAAUAUAAGUAGCAGACCUCCAUUUCCUUGCUCUUAUCUUAAAAUGAAAGGACUUGCUCUCCUCUCCUUCCAUAAAUUAGCAGUCAAAUUAAUAGCAUUGAUGGCACCCCAUCAUCUUGAUUUCAAUGCACAGCAAUGUGUUAGGCGUUAUGUUAAUUAAACCCAAGCACAGCCCCGAAAGGCCACAAAGAGCGAAUGUUUCAGAGCACGUACUCUUUAAUUUUAGAAAUAAAAUCAUGGAUAUUUAUGUGAUUAGAGAGCAAGGGAAUAGGAAUAAUCUGAUACUGAUUUUUAAUCCUGAACCAGAGGUGAUGAUAUCUAGAUUAGCAUUAAUACAGAGAUUCCAUCUCGCUCUGAUCGAUCGAGGGCAAUAAUUUGAAAGAAUUGUUAAUGAUAAUAAAGUCAACGAAACGUACAUGCAUGCCACCCAAGCACACAACCUCUGAAGGUCACAACCAGCAGAAGGUUUCAGCUAGCGAGAGUUCUUAAGAAGGGAAAUAAUAGAUAUUCAGUGAAUGAUUAGAAAGAGAGUGAGGAAUGAUCAUUUUGUUGCAUAAUGGGUUUGUUAAUACUAAAACUCAAUCAGUCUCUUACACUUCCAGCUCAGCAACUGCUUUGCAAACAUGUGGCGACUCGACAAUGGCCACAUCAUCCACUACUGAGAUAUUGAGUGGGGGUCAGCUUGUUCUUGUCAUUCUCGUCUCCGGUUGAGACAAACCCUAAUUAAGCAGAUGAAACGGUGAUUAGUUUAGGGGUUUGGGUACCCUUAAUUUAGGACGCUAAUUAAGCUGACUUUCCAGCUCGUGUGCACGACUCCUUUGCCGGGACUUAAAUUUGAAUUCUUUUUCAUUCAUUAUUAGGGUUUACACGUGCAUGCAAUUCUCAAAUCGGAAAAGAUCACCUGUGUGUGUGUGUGUGUGUUAACUUGAUUAAUUAAAUACUCCAAAUACAAUGAUUCUAGACAUGAUGAAAACUAAUUAAGUGAAUAGGAAGUUGAAGUCGACAUAUAUUUGUUGCAUUCAAAUGGAAUAAAAGGCAUGGACUUCUCUUGUGUUUAAUUCAUUUGGGGGGUUGAUAUUUGUGUUUAAUUCAUUUGGGGGGUUGAUAUUGAUAUGUUCCAUGCGCAGUUACCUUGCAGAUAUAUAUAUAUAGUUUUAUCUGCUUGUCUUAUUUUUUUAUAAUUAUAGAAAGAAAAAAGUGGAUGAAACAACCAACAGAUGUGGUAUUUAUUUAAUGGAAAUCAGCGGUUGGAUUUUAAUUAAUUAUCAGCGGUUGGAUUUUAAAUAUAUAAUUUAUUUGCUUAAGAUGACCACGAUAGGAAGGGCCAAAGAUAAGCUGCUACUCUAAUAUACACCAGUGUUGCAAGAUAUCAAGUUGAAGUGUAUAUGGGUCUGGAAAAAUAUCAAGUUGUCAGUGAGGGAAGUUUAUUAACUUCUAGUUCCUAAAAUUCUCUAUAAAAAGAGACUGAAGAAUAAUGUUUAAGGUUGUAAAUUCUGCAUUGUAUUGACAAUUUUCUUCACCUUAUUUUCCAACAUUUUUUUUUUGUUUUAAACCUCUGUUUUCUCUCUAAAUUUCCUUUUAAUUUAAAGCUUAGGUUUAUUGAGUAUUAUUUUCUUAAUUCGUUAGACUUUAUCUAGGAGUGAACCUAAGCAAAUUGUGUUGUUGGAAUUCCGGGAAGUUUAGUGAAGAAAGUCAUGUUGGACCAAGUGAGGAGUAAGAAAACUUUAAGAAUAAAAACAUGAUCAUUGAUAACAACAAAACUUGAUAAAUUUUAAAGUAUUUCAACAAAUAAGUGUAUUUUUUUCAUUUAUGUUUUAACAUAUAUAAAAAUAUAUUGUAUGAUUAGUAUGCUUGUUAGAAGUUUUUUUAUAUCAAUUACAAGUUUGAUAUAUGUUUAAUGUGCAUGAUAGAAUAUAUAUAGUUUUUUUUUUUUCAUGAUUGCAAGUUACUAUAUUCUAAUUAAAUUGCAUAUUUAUAGACUAAAUAUAUUUUUAUCACUUUUCCAGUUUUAUUUGUCAAUCUUGAACAACAAUUAAUUGCUCACAAAUGAAUCAACCAGGCAUUGUGAGCUUGUGUCGUGUUGUCCUCGUUAUUCAUGUGAUGAGGCUCUAAGUGGUUAGGCUUUCAGUUUGUUUCAUGCUGUCGUUUCGGGUUGGCCCAGAAACGUUUUAGUUCGGCAUCUGCUUGUAGUAACUUGGAUACAGAUAUUGCUAGUGUCCCAAUGUGUUGACUGUCGAAUGCAUGCUUUAUUGCUUUCGUGUUCUUUCUGCCAAAAUCUUUCUUUCUUCUCUUUCCUCUCCCUUCCUGAUUCGAAGCAAGAACAACUUUUGAAAUAUAGCAUUAUUUGUUCCUUGGGAGUCUCUCCCUCCUACAGACCUGGUCUAGGCAACAUUUUAUUAACCCCAUAUGGUUAGCCCUGUACCAGUGGUAAGAGCCUAUUAGUUUGCUCAUCAUAAUCUGAAGCUUCGGAGUUAAGGCCCAGGUCCAGGGACAAAGAGCCUGUCUUGCCUGCAGGUUCUGCUACCCAAACCACGAAACACGCAGCCAGCAGCCAGUUGCUUUAUUGAUUUUGUUGAUGCCUUUUGCCCUUGGUCAGAUUGUCUGUAAAUAGUAAAUACCCUAGAUCCUUCUCUCUUUCGCGUGUUCUUUUCUUGUUCUUCUUUUUCUGGCAUUUUCCUUUUUAUAUUAAAAUAAAAAGGAAAUCUUUACUGAAUUUUUCCAAAACCUGUUUUUAGUAAACAAGAAUCUUCUCCGAUUCCCAUGCAAAGAAUAAUCAUGAUGCAUUUUAAGAAUUUAUUGCUGCAAGUUCAAAAGCAACCCUGUUCCUGGACUUCAACAUUUCCGGUAAUGGAAGAAGGAAAACAAGGACUGCAAUCACUCGUGUGAUGCAGGUGUGCCAUGGCGGAUGAGGUUCAUCCUCCAAGUGGUCUCUGAACAUGGUUUUGAAAAUAGGGAUGUAAGGUUGACACUGUAGGAUAUUUAAGACAGUUUCUUCAAAGUUCUAAAGACAAUUUCUCAUACAAACAAUUAAAGCAGCAAAUGUAUAUCAGGAUGGGCAGUAAUCAAUCCUCUCCCUUUUGGUCCACUCAUAAGAGGCACAGAUCACACUUCUUCAUUAUACAUGAUAAUUUAAAGACCAAAGGCACUGGGAAAGAAGCCCUCCCUAUCACACACAUGGCAGCACAUUAACCCAUUGCAUACUUCUGGGUCCAGCUCCUUGCAGUUGUCUCGUAUUUGCUCCUAUCAGUCUUG
rnacentral:lncRNA from 1 species